rnacentral:lncRNA from 1 species
AAAAAAUGCCGCUAACGACAACGUCGCAAAUUUUUGCGGCGCUUACAGAAAAAAAUGCCACUAAAGAUCAUGUUCUUUAGCGGCCCUUAGAAAAAAACGCCGCUAAAGAUCAUGUUCUUUAGCGGCGCUAAAAAAAUAAACGCCACUAAAGACCAUCUUUUUUAGCGGCGCUAAAAAAUAAACGCCACUAAAGACCAUGUUCUUUAGCGGCGCUUUAGAAAUAAACGCCACUAAAGAGCAUGUUCUUUAGCGGCGCUUAGAAAUAAACGCCACUAAAGAUCAUGUUCUUUAGCGGCGCUAAGGAAAUAAACGCCGCUAAAGAUCAUGUUAUUUAGCGGCGCUUAAGAAAAAAACGCCGCUAAAGAUCAUGUUCUUUAGCGGCGCUUUGAAAGAAAACGCCUCUAAAAGUAAUGUUCUAUAGCGGCGCUUGUUUAAAAACGCCGCUAAAAGUAGUAUUCUUUUAGCAGCGCUUAUUUCAGAAAUGCCACUGUUUGAUAUGACUUUUAGCGGCGCUUUUUUAAAAAACGCCACUAAUUUUAGGAUUUUUUUUAAAUAAAACUUUCUGUUUUUUUCUGCCCUCCUGCAACAAAAAAUUAAAAGCAACCAAAUCUAAACUAACAAAAAACAAUAAAUUUAUAUAAUAUUUCAAAUUAAAUGACUAAAAUAAUAUUAAUUUAUAUAAAUAAAAUUGAAUUCAUACUUUUCUUUACAAAAGCGUUAAAAGUAUUUAUGCAACAUACACUAUGACGGCGGAAGUUGCGACUGCUGAAACAUCUUCAUCAUAAUCUGAAGCUGCUGUUGAAGUUCGUUGUACUUUUUGCUCUGCUCCGCUUCUCUCGAUGCCGCAUCUUUUUGAAGUCGUAGCUAUAGUUCUUCAUAUUUCUUUUGAACCUCUGCUUCUAUCGCUGCUUCUCUCGCUGCUUCUCUCGCUGCGGCCUCUGCUUCUCUCGCUGUGGCCUCUGCUUUAAGUUGUUGCUGAAGUUCUUCAUAUUUCCUUUGAACCUCAAAUGUGAUCGCUUGCAUCUGAGCCAUCUGGUCUUUUAACCUCUGAACUUCAGCUUGAGAUUGACUCCCCGAAGCCAUGUAUUGGUGCGAGCUGGAUCCAAAAUAUUGGGUUGGGCUGAUAAAAGAUCCUUGAAAUCGAACCCGACCAUACUUUUCAGGACCCAAUACUUCAGUAAUAAUCCGGUUAUCAAUGUCUUCAAGAUGAACAGAACUAUCACUAGAAGCAAUCGCUUCGUACUCCGUCUUUUUUUCCUUUAGUUUUUCCUAAUAAAUAAAUCACAUAGUUAGGAACGCAAUAUAUAUAGUAAAAAAAACAAAUGCAAUAUAACAAUAGUCGCAUUACAAGCAAUGAAUUAAACCAUUAGAAAAUAAACACUAUAAAUAACUAAAACAAGUGAAAUCAUAUUAAGUAAACGUACCAUAAUUUCACCAGCUUCAGGAGUCAUAGCAGAUCCAUCUUUUUUCUUAUGUGUAAUUUCAAAAAGUUGUAGGCGUCCAACUUUUUGACCGGAUGACCGUUCCUACAAUAUAGUAGUAAAAAUAUUAUUUAAUAGAAAGUUAUACAUAUUUGAGAAUAUUAAAAAAUUAAAAAUACCUCCGCCUCAGCUACACAUGCAAAACUUCUCGACCCGGCUGUGUGAGUGAAUUUUUGUUGCUGCCGGCUGCUUUUUCCAACUCGCUCACGAUCCUACGUUAUAAAAUUUUUAGUACGUAAAUAGUAAAUACUAUAAACCAAAAUAAUUACAAUAGUUUGGAAGUACGUCGUACCUCGCCUUUCUGAGAAUACCAAAAUCUAACCGCAUCUUCCCAUUGGUACCUCAACAUACCCGGCGGGACAUUUUGCAAUUUCUCAUCGAGGGUGGUUUUUGUCUUAUAAUAAUUUUUCUUCAAAGUACUUUUACUGUCUCUCCAUCUUUUUCCCAAUGCCUUCUUUACAUAAGCAUCGGAGACCUCUAAAGCAAAUAAAGUAAAUAUAAAUGAAACUAUUUCCCAAGCAUUACAGAUGACAUUAACAUUUUGUUACCUUAAUAUUAUCGAAGGCUUGGUUUUUGUUGCUAUCGGGCAUUUGACGCCAUGACUCGUAGUUGAUAGGCAACAUAUUCGGAUUUCGUGCUAAAAUGCCCAUGUAUCCUGCUAAAAGUCGAGCUUCUGAUUCAACAGGCUGACCAAAACUGUUUCUGCGUACCUUGACACGCUCGGCUGGAUCUAACUCGUAUAACUCUCUAAGUAGCGUACGUCCUCGACCUCUACGCGUCCCACCAUUUUCAGCUACAAAUGGUAUAUUAUAAUAUAAGAAUUUGAAAAAUAAAUCAAUUAUAAGUUAACACGCAUGGAAUUAAUGUAAGUUACUUUGAACUUCCGUAAGAUCCUCGUGUGUAAUCGAAACAUUCGAAGAUCCAAUUGCUGUCUGUUGUUCAGUACUAUUUGUUUCUAUCGAGUUUGGAUCAUUUUGAACAAUGCUUUCCCUUAUAAUUUUUCUUCUAGGCAUUUUAUCUGCAAUACACAUAAAAUGUAAUUAAACUUAAUAAUUAAUUACAACAAUAACAGCACAUAUAAAAUAGUUGAGUUAUAUAAUAAGACCAAGAUUUAAUACUAAUGUAAGUAUAUAAUUAAACAAUCGUAAAAUCUUACUACAUCAUUAUUCGUAAAAAUCUUCAUCCGUAUCCUGACGAACCCAUUGAAAUUGUGCACUAGUACUAAGGGUAUUAUCGUUUAAGUUUUGUUCUGGAAAUGGAAAAGUUUUUGAUCUGUCGUCGAUGUUAUCUCUACUUCCACUGCCCAUGUCAAACAAGUCUCUAGGGAUGUUACGGAGUACAACGUACCAACCCUCAUCAGUUGGAUCUUUUGAGUAAAAAACUUGUUUGACUUGACUUGAGAAUACAUACGGCUCAUCUAUCAGUUGUUGUCCUGUGUGAAUCAAUCGGUCAAAGUUCACCAUUGUAAAACCAAAUUGAUCUUGCUUGAUUCCACGAGCUGUAUUAACAUCGGCCCAAUCACCUCGAAAUAAGACAACUUUCCAUUUGCCGUAGUAAUCCAACUCAAUUAUGUCAGUAAGCUGUCCGAAAUAUUCCACAUUUCCCUCGACUGGAUUAUUGUCCCUAGCGCUAGCAUAACUUGUAAUUGCAGAAUUAACAACUAUUCCACAAUUUUGCGUUCUCCUCAACCUCUCGCGAUAUUUUGUAUGAAAUCUGAAUCCGUUGAUGAGGAACGCACUAUAUCUUUUAACCACUCGAUUUGGACAUUGGGAGAGCCAUUUAACUUCGUCGUUUACGCUCUUCCCAUUCGAAACCUAUUGAAUGGAAAGUAAACUAAGUACUUAAAAAUGUUAUGAGAAAGCAUUAUUAUUUGUAAGCGAAAGCUCCAACUACAUACCGUUUGGCUUAACCAUUCAUAAAAAGAUUCUGUAAACAACUUCUUGAUAUCUCGAUGUUGUGUUCUUCGGUUGCGCGAACGAGAUCUCAAUAUUUGUUUGUACUCACUAUAUAUGUUAAAAAAAUGUGAUCUUUGUUAGAAGAUAAACAAUUUUUAGUUUGAUAAAUAUUUAUAAAAUUUGUAGAACUUACUUCCGUAAAGGUUCCAAUGAUUCGUGGUGAAACAGAACAUAUCGUUGUGCUUGUACCCACAAUAAAUUAUCUAAUUCCGCAAUUUCAACUUUGCCGAUUGGUUGUCCAGAACUUUGGAACAAAUAAGUACUAUCGGCUAAGUUAUAGUCUGUGAGUCCAGCAUUCCUAUUUGGUCUGUUCAACCUUGUUUCGACAUCUUCCAAAUAUCUUGAGCAGAAGGUCAUACAUUCCUCUGCCAAGUAGCCUUCAGCAAUCGAUCCUUCUGGAUAUCGCUUGUUGCGACAAUAAGACUUUAAUUUGGAUAGGAACCUAAACACAAUAUACAACAUUAUCAUAAGUUGUAACUAUAGGCAUAGAGGUGAAUGAAAGAAAAUUUUAAAAAUACUUCUUUAACACCUUUCUAUGGGAUACAUCCAUCGAUAGAAAACGGGUCCGCAUACAUCCUCGACUGUGCAUCAUUUUCAUCGUCGUUCCCAUCUUCUGUGUUUCUAUUUAUCCAACGGGAGUGGCCGCAUACAUGACAGCACUGUUGGUUUUUCCGAUCGCCCCAAUACAACAUGCAGUCAUUUGGGCAACUAUGGAUUUUGUUGUACCCAAGGCCUAAAUCUUUUAUCAUUUUCUUCAUAUCUUUGCAUGACUGAGGGAUUUUUGUAAACGGAAACAUUUCUCUCAAAAACUCUAGUAGCAUUGUCAACGAGUUUUCGGUCCACCCUCCCAAACAUUUUAACUGAAAAAGACGAACACAGAAGGCCAUUUUUGAAAAUUUUGAUCCCUCAUACAAUUCUUCGUUCAUGUCAUUAAGUAGAGCGUAGAACUUCGCCGCUUCUCUAUUUGGCUCUUCAUGAGGUACACUACUUCCCGGUUUGGUAAAAGUAGUUCCACCGACGUUACAAUCAUCAUAUGCCAUAAAAUCCCCUGGGAACGAUUACACACCAUGAUUGUGCAUAUUAAAUGCAUCCCGCAACAUACCUUCCAUGUCAUCCCCUCUAUCAGACUAAUGGUAAGCAGUCCCAGGAUAAGAUACAUCCAUCGUUAAAGAGGAAGUACUUCUAGGGCAUUCUCCAUGAAAAAUCUAUUGCUUAUAACCCUUAACAAACCCAUCAACAAUUAGAUGCUCGUAUACAACCUCACGAUAAUGCCAGUUUAGGUUGACACACUUUUUACACGGGCAAAGAAUCAUGUUCUCUUGGCUUGCAUAUUGAAAUGCAAAAUUUAGAAAACUCUGCACCCCAUUUCGAUAACCGUCGCUUACCCUUGACAAAUUUAUCCAAGACCGGUCCAUUUCUUAAUUCUUGAAGUCUGACGUUGACAAUAAAUUGCACGGUUUUAGGAUUUGACAACAAGAUAUACAUUAUAUAAGUUAUGUAAGUUAUGUAAGUUAUGUAAGUUGUGUAAGUUGCGUAAGAUGUGUAUUAUGAAACUUAUGUAAGUUAUGUCUUAUGUAAGUUAUGUAAAUUAUGUAUUAUUUACACAUGUAAGUUAUGUCUUAUGUAAGUUGCGUAAGUUGUGUAUUAUGAAAGUUAUAUCUUAUGUAAGUUAUGUAGGGUAUGUAUUAUUAUGUAACUUAUUUAAUUUAUGUAGGGUAUGUAUUAUUAUGUAACUUAUUUAAUUUAUGUAGGGUAUGUAAGUUAUGUAAGCUCUGUAUUAUUUACGCAUGUAAGUUGUGUAUUAUGUAUUAUUACGUAAGUUAUGUAGGGUAUGUAUAAUAUUAAAAAAAUAGUAAUAUACUUAUUUAAGUUAUAAAUUUAUUAUUAAUAAAAUUUAAAUAUAGCUUACAUACGUAAAUGAAUAUAUGUAUAAUAUUAAAAAAAUAGUAAAACUUAUUUAAGUUAUAAAUUUAUUAUUAAUAAAAUUUAAAUAUAGCUUACAUACGUAAAUGAAUAUAUGUAUAAUAUUAAAAAAAAUAGUAAUACUUAUUUAAGUUAUAAAUUUAAACUUAAAAAUAAAUUAAAAGUUUGAAAUUUUUUGUAAGUUAUCUAAAAUUAAACUUAAAAAUAAAUUAAAAGUUUGAAAUUUUUUUCCAUGAUUAAAAUUAAAUAAAAGAAAACAAAACAAACUAAAUUUCGGGGAUUAAAAUAGCAACUAAAGGAAAAAAAUUUGUUUUGGAGGAAAACAUAUAAAUAUUUGCAAACUAUACGGGCUUUAACCAAAUGUUUAUAUUAUUUAGACAUAAAUAACCUUCAUUUUCGAAAUAAUUUACUUGUUAUAUGGAAUAAUAUGUAUACAACAGUUAACCAUGUUUUAUAUCAAUGAAACUGAAAUGUGAAAAGAAAUUGGAUUAAUUUGUUAUUGAAUGUAACGUAUAGUUCCGAAAUUUUGAAUAAUUUUAAAAUAAAAAAAUUUAAUCCAAUUUAUUAAAUUUAUUAAAUUGCUUCUAUUUUGCUCAACAUAUAUAGCAAUCGUUGAUGGAUGAUAACAAAAAACAUAAGUCAGAAAAGUACAUGGCAAUUGUAAAAUAAGUAAAAUGAAACAUAAGCUAGAGGAAAAUAACCAAAACCAAUUACAUGUAUACAAAACCAGAGCCCCAAAAGAAACAUUUUUCAAAAAUCAUCUUGCUAUUUCCAUAUAAUAUUCACAAAAAGUCAGACCAUUUUAGUUUAUAGAUUUACUUACCACUAUAUUACAGUUUAAAAUUUUUAAAAAUACAAGAACUAAACUUGAUCAAAUUUCUGAAUCGGUAGUAAGUCCAUAUGAUUAACUGUGCAGUGACUAAUAAGUCCAUACUUCAACAACAAAUGUUAUCAUUAAUCUAGACAAUAAAAGCAAAAGAAUCAAAAAAAAGAAUGAAUCUCAAAGUUCAGCCUAAUAAAGAGGUUGAAAGAAGAUUUAUACCAAAAAUAUUACUUUGCUCAGAAUGUAAUUUGAACUUACAAAUUUUGAACAGUGCUGUAGUGUUCCGUUCCUUGCCACUACUGGAUUUUUGUAAUAGUAUGUAUAGUAGCCCUGCCAUAGCAAACAUUAAUAGAUGUGAAUCAAUAGGUUUUGAGAAUGAAUCUCAACAUCAAUAACCUACCCCUCAUCCUGAGCUAUUUUCGACAGAAAAGAAAUAAAUGAUUAACCAAGGUAGUAACGUACUAAGUUUACAGAGAAGAAUUCUUCUCUUAAAACCAUUUUCAUUGUCUGAUCGAAAUGGUUAAGGUUAUGAAAAUUAUUACCUAAAAAUGUUCUUACUUUCUUAACCCUAAUUUGAAUUUACCGUAUUAAUACCUAAAAAUGAUCUUACUUUCUUAACCCUAGUUUGAAUUUUCUUAUUUCAAUGGCUACUUGUCACUUCAGUGGCUAUUUCUCAACUAAAUACGACGACCCUCAUCAGUCGGCUAGGUAGAAUAAAAACUGAAUUGUAUGUUUAAAAAUUAAACUGUACGAAAAAAAGGAAUAAUGUGAAAACUAAAAUAUGUGAAAACUAUUGCAUUUCACGAAUAAAUAUAGAUGAAAAUGCUGAAAUAUGUGAAAAAUGAAAACCCUUGAACUACCGUCGGCAAGAGAACAAACCUCUAAGCUGGCGAUUUCAAGGUUGCCGAUUUCGGGAAACUCGUUGGGCUGCCGAUUUUCGGGUGAACUUAGGGAUUUCAGGGGGAAUUCUCUAAAAAUCUUAAAGUUUGGGGAACUAAUUAGGGCUGCUGGGGAAAUGAAUGUCGAAAGUCUGCUAGGGAAGAAAGGGGAAAUAAAAAUCGGAGUAAGAGGAAAACGGAGGGGAAGCAAACGACGACGUUUUGCUAAAUGAAAUAAACCCUUGUGGCUUUUAACUAGACGUGCCGCUAAAUCCAUGGAAAUUGCGGCGUUUCAAAACAAACGCCACUAAAAACCCACAAAAAUGGUGACGUUUGCAUUAAUACAACACAAGGAAUUCCGACGUUUUUGACAUUGCGCCUCUAAAUCCUGCAGCAUUUACGGCGUUUGACCAAAAACGCCACUAAAGAAGCUAUCAACACGGUGCCGUUUUGCUGAACACAGAUUCAGGGUAAGGGCAAAACAGAGGACAGAAAAACGAUGACGUUUGAGUAAUAGAAAUAAACUAUUGCGGCAUUUAUUAGAAACGCCGCUAAAUUUCUACCUACUGCGGCGUUUAAUCCAAAACGCCACUAGAGAACCUCCAAAACGGCCGCGUUUGGGUUAAUAGAAAAUGACGUUUGCAUUAAUACAACACAAGGAAUUGCGGCGUUUUUGACAUUGCGCCUCUAAAUCCUGCACAUUUACGGCGUUUCACCAAAAACGCCACUUGUGAAGCCAUUAACACAGCGUCGUUUAGAUAAAAAUAGAAUUAGAACGAGGGAGAAAAUGUAGGAGACCAAAACGACGGCGUUUUACUCUCUGCAAUAAAUGUUUGCGGCGUUUAACUAAAAACGCCGCUGGAUACACACAAAACACAGCCGUUUUGAUAAACACAACGCCGUUUUCAUUAAAAUAUCUUAUCUUUUUGCGGCGUUUUCUGUAUUGCGCCGCUAUAGGUCUACAUAUUGCGGCGUUUCUCUGAAAACGCCACUAAAUAAGCCUAUUGAACGGCACCGUUUUUAUGACAACAUAAUUCCUUUAGUAUGAAAUUUGUUUCUAUAUUUGAAAGGUUUAAUUAUUUCUUAAAUAAAUUUAAAUUAAAUUUGUUCUGUUCCACGCUAUAUAUUUAAUAUGUAAAAUUUUAAUUAUAAUUGUAUACAUGAAAAUAAUUUUAAAUAAUAUCAAAACUCGAGCUAGAUAUAUGUCUUCCUUCUGAAGAAUAUUAUGUAAUUUUUUGUAUUAAAUUAAGAAGGCAAAGCUUAUGAUGUUACGAUAGAAUCGAAAAAAAUUAGACGGAUCAAAACAAUCCGAAAUAGAUGUUCAUGAAUAUUGGUUAAUAGAAAGGAUCGAUAUAUAUAUAAUUCUAUUCCCUUGACUGAUCUUGAUUUUAGUUCAACUAGUAUUCGUGUCUGCGCCAUUCUUCAAACAAGAGCACGAACAUAUGACAUUGUAAGAACCCUACAAUUAGUAAGGGUGAAAAACGCUUCAUUAAAAACACUAAUUAAUCAAAACCCCGAAACACUAAACCCCAAAAUUAUACACCCUAAACACUAAUCCCAAUUACCCCUAAACUUUAAACCCCAGCACUUAAACCCUAAACCAUAAAACAUAAUCACUAAACCCAUAAUCCAUAAACCUUAAAUUGUAACUCUUAAAUCUUAAACCAUAAACCUUAAAGCAUAACCCUUAAACCCUAAACUGUAAAACCAAACCCUAAAUAUAUCCCCAUAACCCCUUAAAGCAUAACCCCUAAAUCCCCCUAACCCCUAAGUCAUAACACCUAACCCUUAAACCACAAAACCUUGAACCUUAAUUCCUAAACCUUAAAUCCAUACCCUGACCUACUCAUGAUUAAACUCUAAACCAUAUACUAUAAUGAUAAUUAAUUCAAUAUUUUAAAAUUAAUACUACCUUUUUUACGAUUAUAUAAGAAAUUAUUUAAUAUAUAAACUAAAAAAAUCAGUAAUGUAUCCAAAAAACUUUAAAAAUAUUUUAAAUAAAUUUAUUUAAAUCCCUGAGCAUUAGCGGCGCUUUAUUAAAAACGCCGCUAAACCCCUGAAAAGCUAAGAAAAUGGUGUCGUUGGGUUAAAUUUUUUUUGCGGCGCUUUCAUAAAAGCGCCGCUAAAAACUCAGCAUUAGCGGCGCUUUAUUAUAAACGCCGCUAAACCCCUGAAAAGCUAAGAAAACGGUGUCGUUGGGUUAAAUUUUUUUGCGGCGCUUUUAUUAAAGCGUCGCUAAAAACCCAGCAUUAGUGGCGCUUUACUAAAAACGCCGCUAAAUCCCCGAAAGCAAAGAAAACGGUGUCGUUGGGUUUAUUUUUUUUGCGGCGCUUCCAUAAAAACGCCGCGAAAGCCCUGCAUUAGCGGCGCAUUAUUAAAAACGCCGCUAAACCCCCCCCGGAAGCUUAGAAAACGGCGUCGUUGGGCUUAGUUUUUUAAAGCGCCGCUAAUUCUUAUUUUCAGUGGCGUUUUCAAUUCAGUGCCGCUAAUGAUCGAUCUUUAGCGGCGUUUGUUAUUAAAACGCCGCUAAAUACACCGCUAAAAGCCUAUUUUGGUGUAGUGUAUCCAUAAUUAAUUUUAAAUAUAUAUAUAUAACAAUGAAAAGUUAAGAAAUUUCAAAAAAAAAAAAAACACUUUUUGUUGAGGCCAUAGAUCAAAUGGUUAUAUUUGUUAAAUGACUACUCCAACCGUUAAAACCAUCUUUGUGAAAAAAAAUCAGCUUGAUCAAGAUUGUAUACAGGAGCUAGAAUUGAAUUACUCAAAUAAUUUAAAUUGUUUUAAAAAAAAUUAAUCAACUUUAAUAAUUUCUUUUGAGAUUAAAAAACUUUAAUCAAUUUUAAAAAAAAUUAAAUUUUAUCCAUCCCUAAUCUUUUAAAUAUAAAGAAAGACUCUAAACAGAUUUUUUUUUAUUAAAAAAAUUAUAAGAUGAUAGAUAGCUACUUAUCAUUAAAUUUAGAAAAUAUUAAAUUACUUUUAUUUUAUUAAAAAAUUAAAAUAAAUUAUUUUUUAAAAUGAAAUAUUCAAAUUACCCUAUGUAUCUUUUAUCCAAAACUAUCUACAAUAAUAUAAAAUAUUAUAUUAAUAAAAUUAAAAUUAAUAAAACAAAUAAUCUUUUAAAAUCAAUAUUUACUUUUGUUAAACAAUAUAAUUAUAUUCGAUACUUAUAUUUACUAAUUUAUCAAAUAAUUUUUAAUAUACAUUUAAAACUUAUAAAAUUUAAGGGUAAAAAUGCAGUGGUUAAAUUUUUAAUAAUUAAAAUUUUAAUUUAUCAUUAGAUUAUGUAAUAAACAACAAUAAUAUAUAAAUAAUGAAAGUCAAUUACGCUCAUUGUCUUCCAUUAAAGAAAAGUUACACUCACGGUUUUUCAGUGAUAUUUCAGAUUUAUUUUUUAAUUAGUUUUUUAAUAAUACAUUUUUUUUUAUCGUAAUCAAAAUAUCUAUAGUUGACAGCAGUUACUAAUCUCUUUUUCGAAGGUAGACAAUGCAUUUUUAAUUACAAUAAUUAGUAUAUUCGUUAUUUAAAUUAUUGAAGAUAAUUAAAUUAUAUUAUCUUAUUUUAAAAAUCAAACUUAUAAUAAUAAAAAAUUUAAAAUGAUAAUUAAAGCAUUUAUAUUAUAUUCAAUGUAGAAUAUAAUUUUACUUCAUUUAAUUUAUACAGAACAACAAUACUAAAAAUAAUAAUAUAAUUAACAUAUAAAAUUAUUUUGUCAUUCAAAUGCAGUGCUAAUAAAAAAAUUCUUAAUAAUUAUUAAAAAAUUGUAAAAAUUAUAAAAAAAAGUAAUAUAUCAUAGGGAUCAUAUAUAAAAUCAUUUAAUAAAAAAAUUAAUCUUCACAAAAUUCCAAUGUAUCCCAAAUAAAGUCAUAAUAAUAAAUUUCUUGAUAUUAAUCAAUAAAGAUUAAAACAAAAAAUAUAUAUUAUCAAAUUAGGAAAACCUACUUGAAAAUCUUGAAAAAUUAAUAUUUAUCAUAUAAAAUUCUAGAGAGAAAAAGAGAAUAAGAAAAAUAUUGGAGAAAGUGAUGAAUAUUAAAAAGAAAAAGAAUAAGGAGUUUUGAAAUUUUGAGUAGGUUGAGAGAUAUUUAUUUUGUUUUAUAUAAAUAAAAUAUUUUUAUAACAAACUUUUUUUUUUGAAGUCACUUUGAGUCCACGAUUUUUUAUUGACUUCGCCCACAUAUUAAAAGUAUAAUAUAAAUAAAAGAAUAAAUAUAUAAUCUUUCUCUAUUUUAAUUAUUUUAUCUACAUAAUGUGAUUUAUUUAAAAUAUAAAUAGUAUGAUAUUUUAAUUGAUUAAGUUUUAGUUCAAUUGGUAUGAGUAUUAUUAUCAAUGCAAUAACACAAUAGUUUGAGCGCCCCUCCUUAAUUUUUUAUAUAUAAAAGUUUUAAUUUAUAAUUUCAACUAAAUUGAACCCAAACAAGCAUAAUCUCUUCAAUCAUGGUUUAGUCAAAUUUAUUAUCUUUAAGUUUGAGAUCUAAUCUUUUAAAUUUUAAUUUGACAUAAUUUAUCCUCUAUUUUUAUAAUAUUAUUUGUUAGUCUAAAUUAUUAAUAUCGAUUAAUUAUUUCAACUAAAAAGCUAAUUUAAUUGUUUCUCAAAAACAUUAUAUCACACAUGAUCAGUUAGGAUGUGUUUUAAGAAAAAAUCUACUUCAAUUAAUUAGUUAUUUGAAUUAGCAUAUGAUAUUAUAAAAAUAGAGGACCAAAUUAUGUUACAUUAAAAACUAGAAGGAUUAAUUUUUAAAUUUGAGUAUAAUAGAGGAACCAAAACUAACUUUGACUUGUCUAUUAUUGUAGCAACCCGAUUUUUGACCCAAAUCGGAACAGUGGUUUCGGGACCACAAAUCCGAAUUAGAAAAAUAUUUUAAUAUUAUUUUCUGUGUUUAUUAUGAGUGAAUUUGAUUGUGUGAAAUUUCCGUGUUUUAAUUUCAUCGUUUAAGUAUCCGAUUUAAUAAAAGGGUUUAAACGCGUAAAAUAAAAAUUUAAGGGUUAAAUCUAAAAGCACCUAAAUGUUGUUGUCUUUUUAAAUGGGAGGAUUUAUGAUGUAAUAAGACCAAAAGUUAGAUAGUGGGUGGCAUUUGACAAGAGUAACCUUAAUAUAUAUGUUAGACAUAAUUAUUAGUAAAAGGUUAAUAUAGUAAUAAGGUAAAUAUUAACUUUAUAAUAAAAUUAAGUAAUGAAAAGAUGAAUAGGUUCAUCUUGGUUAGCCGAAUGUUGAAAAGGAAGGAACCAUACAUGGCUUUUUAAGUUUCGGCACUUCUUUAGCUUGGUUGAGGUAUGUUUUGAUUUCGAUUUUUGAUGAUUUUUACGUUUUUGUAAUCGUUGCUUCGUGUUCUAUUUAGCCCAUGCUUUAAUUUUAGAAUUUGAAGGUGAUUUUGAGAUAUGCCAUUGAUGAAUACUUGAGUUUUAUGAUAGUUAAUGAUGAAAUAUGGAAGAUAUGUGAUAGAUUAUAAUGUUUGUUUUUGAAUUUUUGAUGAAUUUGAUUAUUUUGGGUUAAUUUGUAAGAAAAUAUUAAAUUGAGGGACUAGAAUGUGAAAUAAAUGUCAUGCAAGGACCUAUUUGAGUCUAGGGAAUAUUCGGCCAAAGUACAUUGUGAUUAAUUUGGAAUAUUUUGUGUUUUGUGCAAUUUGGACUAAAUUGUAAAAAUGUUAAAUAUCAGGGGCAAAAUGGUAAAUUACCUAUUUAUGUGUUUUUGGACGGAAUUGAAUGAAAUUAUGUUUGAAUGAGUUAAAUUUGAAUGUGUAUAGAUCAAGAAUUAAAGAAAUCGGACUUGGAUCGGGGGAAAAUAAAGUCGUUGAUUAAUUGUUCCGUUCCGGUUUAUCGCUGUUCGAGGUAAGUUUAUAAGCAAUUAAAUGUUAAAAUUUCUGAAUAAAUUUUAGUUAUAUAAAUGCUGAAAUGAAAUAUGCAAAUAUAUAUAUAGCUGAAUGCGUUUUAGUUCGGAAAGUAGAAAUUGAUGUGAAUGCGAUUUAUCGAUAUUUAGCACUAAGUGUGCGAGUAUGGAAUAGCUACGGCUAAAUGAACGGCACUAAGUGUGCGAAAUUAAAAUAAUGAUGUUGGAUAAUGGGCACUAAGUGUGCGAAAUUAAAAUGAUGAUGUUGUAUAACGGGCACUAAGUGUGCGAUACCGAGAGCAACUUUGUUAGAUGAGAAAGAGCACUAAUUGUGCAAUUUCAUUAUGGCCUCGAUCAAUUAUUUUAGUACAUGAUAGUACAAGUAUACAAUGGAUGAAAAAUACUUGAGAUCAAGGUAAUUUGGUUAUUUCAAUUUUGAUGAGAAAAAAAUUUAUACGAGGAAAAUGAAAGUAUAUGAGCAUAUGAAAGUUUAUAUUUGGUCAAUUGGUAACUAUAUGUGAUUUUAUACUUAUGUUUUAUAUGCACUUAUUUAUGAAUGAGUAUAUUCGGUGAAAAGUGGGUAUAUGAAUUGAAUAUGAAAAUAACUAUGUUAUUAUUUAAAGACUUAUUCGGCCAAGCUGAAAAUUUGUUCAUAGUUACAUAUUUGAUAUUUAAGCUUUGCAAGCUCGAAUAUGUAUAUAUACGAAUAUGAUUGCAUUAUUUGAUUUUGUUAUUGAAUUAUUAAUGUCAUUAAAUUGUACAAUUGCUUAUGACUUACUAAGCUGUGGUAGCUUAUUUUGUAUAUGUGUGUUUUCUUUCGAUUUUAUAGAUUUUGGAAGCUAGUUACGGGUUCGGGGAUCGUCAGCGUAGUUAAUCACACUAUCGUCCGUUCAUCGGUAGUUAUAAAAGUUAAAUAUAAAAUCUAUGGCAUGUAUAGGCUAUACUCCCCUUUUUAUUAUAUUUUGAACAAAGUGUGUAUAUAUAUAUAUAUAAUAGGCCAUGCGAAAAUGGCUUGUUUAUUUUGACAUGAAUGGUUUCAUGCUUUGAAUGUGAUUAUGGUUGAUGAUUUAGCUAUGUUUCAUAGAUGGUUAAGACUUAUAUAAAUGAUGUUAUGCUUUGAGAGAUUUUCAAUUUUGAUUAUUAUGCGUAUUGGUUGUGAUAGACAAGUAAAGAUGAUUAAUAUGAUACGAUGUAAGUAUAAGUUACAUUCGAAUUCAUGGAUGGAAACAUUUUAGUUUUUGGCAAUUGAGAUUGAAUUUGAAUUAUCAUAUAUUAUGUGAAAAAUUGUAUAUUGUUUUAUUAUGAAAAUUGAGUAGUUGAAAUUGGUAAUUUGCAUAAUGAGCAUUGUUUAUGGAAUUGGUCUUGUAAAUGACCUUUGAUACAAUUGAAGGUUAAAUAAUACAUAGUAAAUAUAUAUAUAUAGGAUGGGCCUUGGUAUGUCAUGCAUGAAAUUGUUUGAGUAUUAAUGUAUUUGAUAUUAGUUAAAGUAUAAGUAUUUAAGUUUAAUUGUAUUCGGCUAAAACUUGAGAAGUUGACCGUAUGAAUAGUAAUUAUAAUUGAUUUGUUAGUCGAGUAGGCGAAAUGAGUAUGACCUAAAGUGGUGUUUGAAAUAUUUUGCAUAAAUUUUAAUUAUGAAUUAUGUGUUUAUGAAUUUGGUUCGGUAAUACCUCGUAACCUUAUUCUGAAGAUGGACUCGGGUUUAGGGUGUUACAAUUAUAUAAUAGGGUAAACUACACCACAGAUCACCCAUUUAUUGCUCUUUUUUUUUGUCACUCAACUAUCAUUUUUUUAAUGUGAUCAUUUAAUUAUUACAUUUUUUCUUUUUUGGUCACCCAACUAUCAUUUUUUUUAAAUUUGGUCAUACAACUAAUUGAAAUUAUUUUUGUUUGUCCAUUUCUAUUAAGUGUCGUUAAAUAUUUGACGAAAAAAUGACGUGACGAUUAAAAAAUUGGUAUAACAAUAAAUUUAACUCUAACUUUUAUAUAUUCUAUUGAUUUAUUAUUAAAUCAAUUUUAAUUUCAUGGCAACUGACAAAAAUAUACCAAAAAAAAUCUAAUUUAAUUAAAUGAAAAAAAAAACCAAUAAUGUAGUUUACCUAUAUAAUUAUAAGAUGUGGGCCGAACCUACCGGCCUAUAAUGUUUUACCACGAGGGAAUGUAAAAUUUCGAGACUGCCCUGCAAUCAUUUAAGCAAGUCAACUGAAGUCGAGCGGAUGUCCUUCGAUUUUUCAACAUUGGCUGCUAAAAUACCCGUAUAUUUCUCAUCAUUUAGGCAAACCAUUCCAGAGUAGAUAUCAAAGAAAAAAACAGCAGACAGGGUGAAGCAACGCCAAGGUAACAUAUAUUUUUCACAGUAGCUAAGCUAAGUAUAUUUAUUUGUUAACUCUGAUUUGAAUCGCUUUUCUGUGAAGUAGGUUACUCGCAACAAAUUCGUAUAAUCAGACGCUUUUCUCGUUUGCUUCAUCUGAGUGUAAUAGUUCAGGUAAGCUUUUCUUUCAUUUUAAAAGAAGGAAGACGAUGGGUGUGGGUUUGAGAAUAAUCUGAUUUCUUCUUUGUUUUGGAGGAAUUUCAAAAAUCUGACUUCCCAGUUUCGCAACAAUCUUACCUUCUAUAGUUUUUUUUUUUUUUAAUCUUAAAGUCAUUGAACAGUAGAAUAUAAUAUGUAUAAUAAAAUAUAAUAAAUAUAUAGAUCCAUAAUAAUUAGACCUCCUCUGGUUUCUCCGGUCUGUGUUUUCGGGCCCCUUAGACUUUUGUCUAGCAUCUUCUUUUUUGUACAACUUUUGAGAACUGUCGUCCACUGUCUGUAACUUUUUUAUAAUGAAAGUUUCUUUCAUAAAAUAAUCAUAAUUAGAAAAACGUAAUAUUUGAUUGGGUGAGAGAAAAAGACAAUAUAGGCAAGCUACUCAUAUUUUUAUUUUAAAUCAUUUCAAAAGAAUUUUUUAAUUUUAGUUAUCUGAACAUAAAAAUGAAUUAAAUUGACCAAUAAGUGGUAAUAAAAGAUUAACUGUACAUUUUUACCUUAAUCACUCUAAAAUUUAGAUAAAUUAUUCUUUAGUCACUGUAUAUAAAAACUAUUGCUACAUUGGUUUACCCAGUGGAUAACAUUUUACCUUAUAUAAAGAUAAAUUCCUAUUAUCACAGCUUUCCUCGUUUGCCUCAUCUUUGUAUAAUAUUUCAGGUAAGCUUUUCUUUUAUUUUCAAAGAUGAAAGACUAUGGGUGUGGGUUUGAGAAUAAUCUGAUUGCUUCUUUCUUUAAGCUAUGGUUUUGGAGGAAUUUCAAAUCUGACUUCCAGAUUUGAGUUUCGCAACAAUUUCUAGUUUUUUCUUUUUUAAAUUAAUUAUUCCGCCAUUAAAUGUAACAAAAGGCUAACAACGUAUUUUCACAUUCAUCACACUAAAACAAGGGGUUGUUACUGCUUUGGUUUAGGAUAACAUUUGAUCUUAUAUUUUUGUAUACGUUAGUUUUGUAAUUUAAUAACUUUUCUCAAUUUUGAAAAUUUUAAAUAUUCAAAGUCUAUUUGGACAUCACAAAAUAUUUAGUUGGAUAUUUAAUUUUGAAAAAUUGGGUGGCUAAAAGAAACAUAUUUAAUAGUUGAUUGACCAAGAUAUAAUAAACUAAAUAGUUAAAUGAAUAUUCAUAAAAUAUUUAUUAAUUUAAUUUUAAUAUAUUUCUGAUAACCAAAUUAUAAAAAUAUUCACUAUUGGUCUAACCAAAAUAAUUUACGUGUUUAACAGAAAAUUAUAUUUUAAUUUAAAAUUUAAUAAGAAAAAUAAUUUAUUAAUGAAAAAGGAAAUGACAAAAGAAUUUAAGCUAUAAUAAUAAGAAAAUCAUAUUUUAAUAAUAAAACACUAAAAUAAAUUCACAAAAAAUAAUAAUAAAAGGGAAAAGCUAAUUAGACAUUUUAGAAAGUUAAAAUGUUUUUAGUUCAAUCAAAGUACUUUGCACGUUGUAUCCAAAGUAUAUUAUUUAACUUUUAUAAGAAAAAUAUUUUUUAAAUAAAUAAAAAGAACAAAAGGAAAAAAUAAAUAUAAUAAGAAAAAAUAUUUUACUGGAAAAAAAAAAGAAUUCAUAAAAAUUAUACGAAAAAGGAAAAUCAAUUAAAUACUUUAUAAUAUUAUUUUAAAAGAACUCAUAAAAAAUUAAAUAUUUUAAAAGGGUAAAAAUGUUUUAUUUACAUAUUUUAUAUACGUAUUUUAGAAGAUUUUAUAUAUUUUGGAAGAAUAUUUUAUUUUUUAAUACCUUUUGGAGCUGACACUUAAUUUAUAUAUUGAUAGAUAUAUAAUCGUACAUUAAAAUCUAUCCUUCAUAAAGAAGUAAGUGUGACUAAUGGACGUAGUUAUUAUUACUACAUUGCAGAUUAUUUGGUGAAUUAUGGAACUUGCAGGACCAAUUUGUGAAGUGCUAAAGUGCUUAGGAGAUCCAACAUGUACAUACAUACAGCAUCACAGAAAACUUAAAGACAGGAUGAAUGAUCUUCAAGAGAGACUAGUCCGACUAAAUGCUAUGAAGAGAGAUGUGGAGCGGAGAAUAAACGCAGAGCUUCGAUGGGGAAGACUUUUAAGGGAAGAAGUAGAGAAGUGGCUUCUAGAUGUGCAAACCGUCAAUGAUACAAUGCGGGACAUUGAUGAACGAAUGCAAAAUGUGUCUUGUUUUUCACGUGCACGCCUUGGAAAACGUGCAGUUCAAACAAUUGAACAAGUGGAGGGAAUUAUUGAACGAGGUAGGUUCCCUGAAGCUCUAGUAAUUGAUAAUCCAUCUACUGCUGGAGUGCCUUUUCAAUCGGAACAUUUAGAAGGUGAAAUCAUGGUGAUAAAAGACAUUUGGAACUAUUUAAUGAGUGAUGAAAUUGGAAUGAUUGGAGUAUGUGGGAUGGGUGGGAUCGGGAAAACCACUAUCGUGAAGCACAUAUACUAUCAACUAUUGAAGGAGACUAAACCUUUGUUUGAUAAAAUCAUUUGGGUCACUGUUUCAAAGGAGCUCAACAUUCCCAAAUUACAGCAAAACCUUGCAACUGCUAUGAAUAUUGUAGGUCUUCCAGAAUCUGAACCAGAGCGUGUAGCAGUAUUAAUGGAUAAAUUGGGACAAAGAAGAUAUGUAUUGAUCUUAGAUGAUGUUUGGAAAAAGUUCUCUCUGGCAGACGUAGGGAUUCCUAAACCAACCUCCAGCAAUGGGAGUAAGUUGGUAUUAACUAGUAGAUUGAUUGAGGUUUGUAGAUCAAUGGACUGUAAGGUAGUCAAAGUGCCUCCACUCUCCAAUGAGGAGUCCAUGAAUUUAUUCUUGAAGCAUGCUGGACGUGGGGUUUUAAAGGUUCCAUCUUUGAAAGAAAUUUUGGACAACGUUGUUAAGGAGUGUGAUGGGUUACCCCUUGCCGUUGCUGUAAUAGCUGGGAGCAUGAAGGGAAUAUAUAACGUUGAAGAAUGGAGGAACGCAUUAAGAGAGUUACGAGACCAUGUAAGAAGCGUGAAGGGCACAGAUGUUGAAAUAUAUGAGCGAUUGAAGUUCAGUUUCGAUCGUUUGGGAGAUUUGAAAAUCCAAAGUUGUUUUCUUUAUUGCUCACUAUAUCCAGAAGACUAUAUAAUUCCAAGGAAGGAAUUAAUAGAAUACUGGAUAGAUGAGGAAUUUCUUGGAAAUGGGAGUCGACAAGAGUUGCAUGAUAAGGGUCAUACUAUAUUAAAUAGGCUGGAAAAUAAUUGUUUGUUGGAAAAGGUUGGUAGAGAUAUUGUGAAGAUGCAUGAUGUAAUGAGAGAUACAGCAUUGUAUAUCAAAGGUUCUGGCUCCCGUUUUAAGGUACAAUCUGGCAUCGGACUAAAAGAACUACCAAGCAAGCAAGAAUGGGGAGAAGAUCUUGAAAAAGUUUCCUUCAUGGUGAAUAACGUAUCUGAGAUUCCUCCGCACUUGUCACCCAAUUGUGAAGUUCUUUCUACCUUAUUAUUGCAAAAGAAUGAAUCAUUACAAAGGAUUUCAGAAUCGUUCUUUCAACAUAUGCAUAGACUCAGCAUUCUUGAUCUUUCUUAUACCAAUGUCAAGCAACUGCCAACUUCUGUGUCAAACUUGGAAAAGCUCAAAGCAUUGGUGCUUCGUCGAUGCUACAACUUGAGAUAUGUGCCUUCACUAGAAAAGCUUGAGGCUCUAAGAAAGUUGGACCUCAAUCGUACAGCUAUUGAAAAGGUGCCUAAAGGUUUGGAAAUGUUAUCAAAUCUAACUUAUCUUAAUUUAUGUGCUGAAAGCUUAAAGGAGCUGCCAGUUGCAAUUCUACCCAGGCUUUCUUGUCUGCAAUGUUUGAUGUUAUACGUUGAAUCAAGUCGUAUAAGAAUGAAUGGAUUCGAUGCUACCAGAUUAACGAAGCUAGAGAGAUUUGAAGGGAGAUUUACUGAGUUGAUAGACUUUAAUGCCUACACCAAGUCUAUACAAUGUCAACUGCUCACUUCUUACUUGCUUGUCAUGGCACCACUUGAAGCCAAGUUUAACGUGAAACAACGUAUAAAAGGCAUAAAUUGUGUUUACCGUUUCAAGUUGUUGAAUGUGGACAGCGACAAAGGGAGGCAGAAGGCGAUGAUGCUCGCAAGCGGGCUCCAAGGUACGGAUGCAAUUAAAUCCAUAAAAAUUCAAUAGAGUAGGGACCAUUUAGAAGGCCGAUUAAGGCCAGUGCGGGUAAGUUGGUAGUCCCAACUGUGUUGAAUGUCAUCGUGUGGCGCUGUGGAGACUGUAUCUCCACCCUGCUGCAUACCCAUGUUUUCUGACUGGACCCUUAAAGGUCCAGUGCCACUCACCGCACUCCCCUUCCCAUUAUAUCUCCUAAAGCUUUAUUAUAAUAAUAAUAAUAAUAAUAAUAAUAAUAAUAAUUAUUAUUAUUAUUAUUAUUAUUAUUAUUAUUAUUAUUAUUAUUGUUGUUGUUGUUGGACAAACCUUUAUUUCUCCCCCCAUCUUCUUGUUGUUUGUUGGUUUUUUCCCUUUUAUUUAUUCAAGGCUUUUAGUUAAUUAUUUAGUUAUAAAUGAAUUUAUAAAAUUAUCAUAGUAAAGGUUUAGAGUAAAUACUUUACACAUAUAAUUAAUUACACAAAAUAGCUUUAUAAUUAAUUAAUUACAAAUAAGAGUAAAGAGCCAGAACAUUGUAAAUUCUAAAAUAAAAGCAUAAGAAUAAUAUAUAUAAAUAUAUAAAUAAAUCAAGAAAUAAUCGAAUAAAUUGCCAUUAAUAUAUAAUCAUUUUUAAUAUAAAAUAAUGUGUCAACGAUUAAAAUUUUUAAGAUUUUAAAUGUUAAAUAAUGUUAUUAGGGAAAAAAAAGGUUAAAUAAUAUUAAAAUACAUAUAAAAACAACAAAAAAUUUAUUUUUUAAGUAUUAAUUAAUGUGAAUAUGUUAUUAUCAAUUCUUUUUAAAUAAUAUUAAAAUACAUAUAAAAACAAACAAAUUUUAUUUUUUUAAGUAUUAAUUUAUGUGAAUAUGUUAUUAUCAAUUCUUUUUUUUUAUUAAUUUCCCAUUACUUAUAGCAAAACUACUAUUUGGCAUAAAAAUAUUUUAAUAAAAUUUAUUUAUGACAUAAAUGUCAAAUUAUUUAAAAAUUAUGUUACACUCAAACUUUAGUUUGGCAUUUGUAUUUGUUUUGUUAAUAUAAUUUACUCACUGCCAUUUGUUUUUAUUAUCUAAUCACUUCGUAUUAUCCAUUUUGGUUCUACUGUGUUAUAGUUACUUGUACGUAGAGCAAUUAAAUUCUCUUUUACAAACCUUUUGAAUAUCACUUAAACCAAUUAUUUAAAUUCUAAAAUAAUCGUAUAUGACUCUACCGAGUGUAUUUUAUAAAGUUAUACUAAAUAUUAUAUUAUUUAAAUUUAAAAAAAUUAUAAAAUUAUGCUAAAAAUUAUAUUGUAAAAAAUAAUUUAUAUGUUACAAAAAGUCUUACAAUCUUUUUUUUUUUUAGUUAUGAAAAAAAAUUAUAUAAUUUGUAAGAAAUGUUAUGAAAGUUAUUGAACACUAUAUAAUUUUUUUAUAAAUAUUUUAUAUUAUUUUUUACCUGAUUUAUUUAUUAUAAAAAUAGUUAUAGCAUAAGUUUUUAUCCAAAUUAAGUUUAAGUUUUUAUAAUCAAAACUAAAUUAUAAAGUUUGUAAUAAUAAUGAUUUACUCAUUUAUUUCAACAUCAUAUAUUUACAAAUUAUGUAGUUUUCAUUCUUUAAAGGUUUAUUUAAAUUGUUAUUUAUUUAAACACUUAAAUUUUACAUUCCAACCAAAUAAAAUAAUCUUAUAUUCACCCACAAUUCUAUUAUUCCACAAACUAACUACACCUUUAAAUUUUUAUUUAUUUAUGCUCCUGUGCUUUAAUACGGUAUGGUGGCUAAUGUAGUACCCCCCCCCCCAAAAAAAAAUACAAUUGGCAAUAGUAACACUAAUGAUUAAUUAUAUUAGAAAUUGAGUUUGAUAAGUACUAUCAUUCUUGAUUGGUGAAGGUGCGGAAUCUGUUUCCUUGAUCUCUAAAGAUAGGACGAUUCUGGAAGUGUCUGGUGACUCAGAAAUGGGACCCACUAAAAUUGCGGCAAAUUGGAAGAAACGAGGUAUAGAAGUGCAGCUCGUGGAUGAGCGGUGGGACCCUACCUCUCUUCCUAUGAAAUACGUGAUAUUAAGCGGGUGUCCGAUAGGACGAGAAGAUCCAGCAGAGCUCCCAAGUGACGUUAGGACUCUGAAAAUUUUUGGGUGCCACAAUAUCAGAAGCUUAAGUGAUAUGCCCUUCUUUCAGCAAACAAAUGAGUUGGGGUUCUGUUCGAUUCACGAUUGUAGAGGGAUAGAAUCUGUGCUUGAUCUGUCGUCACCAUCCCAAUCAUGCACCCCAUUUGAGAACCUUGACCUCUUGUGGCUUGAAAAUUUAGAGAACCUUCAUGUGCUUGUUAAACUAGCAGAAGCAUCCGUUGUUUCUACAUUGAGUUCGCAGUCUAUUCCAGCCAUCUUUUCCCAUCUUAAAUCAUUUUAUAUUGAAGGAUGCUCAAACAUGAAGCAGCUCUUUCCCUUUGACUUGGUACAUGACCUCCAAAACCUAGAGAACCUCAUAGUUCGUGGUUGUGGACAAAUCGAGGAAAUAAUAGGAUCAAAAGAAGAGGAAGAGAAUCACAAGGGAAAUGGAACGCAAGCUCCAACAAAGUUCAGCCUUCCCAAAUUAAGGGAGUUAGAAUUGAAGAACUUACCAGAGCUGAAGAGCAUAUGCAGUUCAAAUAGGGAAAUGGUAUGCAACUCUCUUAUGAAAAUCGAAGUAAAGAAAUGUACCAAUCUAAAAAGGAUGCCUCUGUAUCUUCCUCUUUUUCAAGAUACACACCAAUCAGCUCCUUCUGCUCAUCCUUUUUUACUAAUCCGCAUAGAUCCAAUGGAGUGGUGGGAAUCAGUAGAGUGGGACUAUCCGAAUGCUAAGGAGGUUCUGCGACCUUGGUUGAAAUUGUAUUAGCGCUGCUGGAAGCCUUUGCUGUUCAUAUCAAAUUCCGGAUCAAGCUAAACAGUGAGUCUUCAUUUGUUGUUUUUAUUUCUAGAAAAAAAAUUGAAGAUCUUUUAUUCUACCAAAAAGAAAACGGGAAAUCUGCAAGAAGAGGAUUAUGAUUGGCAAAAUAGAGACCAAAGAGAACAAAACUAUUACUAAUGUUUGAAACAAAUUUAGAUCAAUUAGCAUCAUGCUUUGUUACCAGCUGUAGGCCAAAUUGGUUGAAAAUGGUUUCAGUAAAGCACGGUCUCAUUUGCUUCUUUGUUUAACCCCAAUGGUUAGGCUUGCUCUAGAACCCUUGAGAUUCUCAUUAUGACAUUAAUGAUUUGAAUGAACCAACAGCCCCUUUUUCUUCUUUAUUUUGUAACUGCAAGCUUUAAGUUGAUAUAAAUAUGUUUUCCAAUGUAGUAUUCUUGUUUGCUUAGAUCAAUGUCAAAAACCUUGCCUCUAAUGCUUCCCUUACUUCUCCACUUUUUUUUUUUUUUUUAAAUUCUUUGUGGGGUCUUAUUAAAUACAGGUUGUUUAUGCCAUUCUAAAGCUAGCAAAGCAGUUGGCUUGACAAUCAAAUCUUGGAGAAACAAGUCAACCCAACUCAUCACUGUACCUUCAUUCUUCUGUGGGGGUUCUAUCUUUGAUGUGGUACUUCGUCGGAUGCAUCCUUCUCUUGUGGUUUUAUCUGUAAUAAAUGAACUUCAAUUUGGUUUCAAUGUGAUUGGAUUGUUGAUGUUGUAAUUCAACUUUGUACUUGAUAAUCCUGCUUCUAGUUUGCAUCAUUUUUUACUAUGUGGUUAUGUUUCCUGUGGCUUAAUUGUCUCAUUUGAUCUUGGAACUUGCACAUUUAUAUAUAUAUAUAUUGAACCAUCCCACAGGUAUAUACCACUUCUUGAAAUGGUGUUUUAUUUAGGUGGCCUUUUUGCUAUUGUGAACCAUCCCAAUGCUAAGCAGGAUCUGCUACCUUGGUAAUGCUAUAGCGCUACUGAAAGGCUUUGUACUUAGAUCAUCUUGAUUUUAAUUAAUUUGCAUCAUUUCAUUAUUUGAUUGUAAGUGUAUUUUCUCAUCUUGCGAAUUGGACUUAAUAAUCUAAGUUGUUUGCUUAUCAAUUAUACUUUUUACAAAACAAGUCCAGGAAAAGAUUGCAAACAGGGUUACAGGAUUGCUGGGAUUUCAAUUUUAUGUGUAUGCAUAUUAUUUAAUUUCUUAGGAUUAGAGCUCAUUUAUUUAUUUAUACUAGAUUUAUGGCACACUCAAUUGUGUAAAUUUUGGUUACAAUGAUAAAAUUAGUUCACAUCGUGCAUAAAGUUCUAAAUUCAAAUCAAUUUAUAGUAAGUUUUUAUUGAUUUAUAUUGUGUAAAAAAACAAAAACACUCUCAUUAGAAAUAAUUAAAGUUAAAUAUGGGUGAAUAUUUUAAUAAUUCCGUAGUUAACUUAAUACCUAACAGAAUCGAUAUAGUACUUAAAAUAAGUAUACACGUAAGUAUAGAUGAUGACUAUAAAAUAAUUUAGGCACUAAUUUCAGAGUGUUGUUAUAUCCAAUACCCACCACCUAGAGGCUUUCAAGCUAUAGAAAGGGUCCAAAACUCUAUCUAUUCCUUGCAUCUGAUGGUGGGGUAAUGUUUAGACAUAAUCUAGAUUUGGAUUUGAUUAUCUAGAAUUUUCAAAUUAAAUUGAUUUGGUUUCAGAAUUAGAAUAAAAAGCUAGUUUUGAAAUUUAUUUUAUUUAAGUUGGAAUGUAUUUUAUUUUGAGUCUAAUUUAAUUAAUAAAAUAAUUUUAAUUUAAUAUAUUAAGUCAAGAUUUUUAGUUGAUUAAGCAAUUUAUUAGUGAUUAAUGGAACUAGUUCAAAAAUUUAUCUUAACUGAAAUAAUUACAUUAAAAAAAUUUAAAAUAUCAUAGAGUGAACAUGAUAUAGUUUACUUUUUUUCAUCCUACUUAUGAGUCUUCUUGAAUAGUUUCAUUAUCUUCACAAUUUGCAUUCAUGUAGUUAUAUCACUCUACUUUUAGUUAUCCAUAAUUAAUUUUUUGAAAAAAUAUAUAUAACAAUGAAAAGUUAAGAAAUUUCAACCAAAAAAAAAAAAAAACACUUUUUGUUGAGGCUAUAGAUCAAAUGGCUAUAUUUGUUAAAUGACUACUCCAACCGUUAAAACCAUCUUUGUGAAAAAAAUCAGCUUGAUCAAGAUUGUAUACAGGAGCUAGAAUUGAAUGACUAAUAAUUUAAAUUGUUUUAAAAAAAUUAUUCAACUUUAACAAUUUCUUUUGAGAUUAAAAAAAUUUAAUCAAUUUUUUAAUAAAUUAAAUUUUAUCCAUCCCUAAUCUUUUAAAUAUAAAGAAAGACCCUAAACAGAUUUUUUAUUAAAAAAAUUAUAAGAUGAUAGAUAGCUACUUAUCAUUAAAUGUAGAAAAUAUUAAAUUACUUUUAUUUUAUUAAAAUAUUAAAAUAAAUUAUUUUUUAAAAUGAAAUAUUCAAAUUACCCUAUGUAUCUUUUAUCCAAAACUAUCUACAAUAAUAUAAAAUAUUAUAUUAAUAAAAUUAAAAUUAAUAAAACAAAUAAUCUUUUAAAAUCAAUAUUUACUUUUGUUAAAACAAUAUAAUUAUAUUCGAUACUUAUAUUUACUAAUUUAUCAAAUAAUUUUUAAUAUAAAUUUAAAACUUAUAAAAUUUAAUGGUAAAAAUUCAGUAGUUAAAUUUUUAAUAAUUAAAAUUUUAAUUUAUCAUUAGAUUAUGUAAGAAACAACAAUAAUAUAUAAAUAAUGAAAGUCAAUUACGUUCAUUGUCUUCCAUUAAAGAAAAGUUACACUCACAGUUUUUCAGUGAUAUUUCAGAUUUAUUUUUUAAUUAGUUUUUUAAUAAUAUAAUUUUUUUAUCGUAAUCAAGAUAUUCACAGUAGAUAGUAGUUACUAAUCUCUUUGUCGCAGGUAAAUAAUGUAUUUUUAAUUAUAAUAAUUAGUAUAUUCGUUAUUUAAAUUAUUGAAGAUAAUUAAAUUAUAUUAUCUUAUUUUAAAAAUCAAACUUAUAAUAAUAAAAAAUUUUAAAUGAUAAUUAAAGCAUUUAUAUUAUAUUUAAUGUAGAAUAUAAUUUUACUUCAUUUAAUUUAUACAGAACAACAUUACUAAUAAUAAUAAUAUAAUUAACAUAUAAAUUUUAUUUUGUCAUUCAAAUGCAAUGCUAAUAAAAAAAUUGUAAAAAUUAUAAUAAAAAAAGUAAUAUAUCAUAGGGAUCAUAUAUAAAAUCACUUAAUAAAAAAAAUUUAAUCUUCACAAAAUUCCAAUCUAUCCCAAAUAAAGUCAUAAUAAUAAAUUUCUUGAUAUUAAUCAAUAAAGUUUAAAACAAAAAAUAUAUAUAUUAUCAAAUUAGGAAAACCUACUUGAAAAUCUUGAAAAAUUAAUAUUUAUCAUAUAAAAUUCUAGAGAGAAAAAGAGAAUACGAAAAAUAUUGGAGAAAGUGAUGAAUAUUAAAAAGAAAAAGAAUAAGGAGUUUUGAGAUUUUGAGUAGGUUCAGAGAUAUUUAUUUCUUUUAUAUAAAUAAAUUAUUUUUAUAACAAAAUGUAAUAUCCAAAAAAAUUUACAGUAAGAUAUUAUCUUUGAUAUAAUAAAUAAGGAAAUAAAAUAAAAAAAAAGGAAAAUUUUAGAGCUAAGUCAACAUGGGGAAGUAUAUUAUAUUACAUAUAAUAUAAUAAGUAGAGUAGAUUAUAGAAAAGAUCCAUAAUAAUUAGACCUCCUCUGCUUUCCCCCAUAUUUGUUUUCCGGCCUCUUAGACUUUUGUCUAGCAAAUAUUACAACUUCUAGUUUCCAUAAGUUGUGGAUUAGUAUUUAUAUUUUAACUUGAUUAAUUUAAGCCAUUAUAUUUUUCUAAUCGGUCUUAAUUCCUGUAAUUUUUAAAUUAUUAAAUAUAAUUAAAUUAUUUUAUUUUAUUUAAUAAUUCAAAUAUUAUAAUAAUGAUAACUUUCAAAUUAUAAUUAAAUCACUUUAAUUAUAUUCAAUAUAAAUAUAUUUUUACUUCAUAUAAUUCAUACAAAGUAACAUUACUAAAAAUAAUAGCAUAAUUAACAUAUACCAAUUAUUUUAUCAUUCAAAUAUAGUGCUAAUAUUUUUUAAAUAAUUAUUGAAGUCUUCAUUAUUCAAUGUACUAUUCAUUAAAUUUUUAUAUAUGAAAUAUAAAAUACUUAUUAUAUAAAUUAUUUAAAUUUGCUAUUUUGGAACCAACAUAUAUUUUCCAUAGAAACGCAAUGAUUAAAUUAUAAAUUAAUUUAAUAUAAAUAUUAACUUUUUAUUUACUAUUCUAAAUUUUAGCAGAAUCAAAUUUUUUAUAAUUUUUUUAAUUUAUAAGUAUGAUAAAUUUUAUUAUCAAAUAAAUUUUUUUAACCAAACAUUUUAGUAAAAUUAAUUUUUUAUAAAUAUGAUUAAUCUUAUAAAUAAUAAAAUAUUUUAAAAUAAUAAAUUUAAUAAUAUAACAAACAAUAAAAAUUAUAUUGAUUAGUUCGAAUCUAAACUCGUAUUUUUAUAUAUAUUAGUCUUUGACAUAUGUGCAAUGUUUAUAUUUUUAUUAUUCUUUUUACAAUAUUAAAGAAGUACUUAUGUUUGUUUGAAAGAUGGAUAUAUCGCAUAUAUAUAUUUUAUUAUCUUUACAAAAUUAAUUAAAAUAUUAUAAUAAAAUAAUUUAGUAUAACAUAUAAAAUAAACUAAAUAAAUGUGUGAUCAUAAUGAAUGAAGAUUAUAAUUUUGCAUCAUUAUCGAUUUAAACGAUCUUUCAUCUCUUUCUUAUAGUGUUGUCAUUUGACAAUCACUUGAAAUUUCCUUUGAAAACCUAUUACUUUAAUACUCAAUAUUUUUUAGAUACUUAAAACUUAUCAAUCUAACAGUCUUCAUUUGUUGAAUAAUAUUUAUAAUAAUAGAUCUUAAUUUUAAUUGGUAUAUAAAUAUAACACUAAUUAAAUGAUAACUGAUUUAAAAUAAUAUUUAUUAUUAAUAAUUAAUAUACUCAAUUGUAUAGUUCAAACCAAUAAAAACUCUAUUAUACAAAAAAUAUUAUUAUUAUAAUAAUUUUAUCUAUUAACUUUUAUUGAGACUUUAUCUAUUACUAGUAUACCUAUCAUACCCAUAUUCGUGUGAAAAUAUUUAGAAUGUAUGUGACCGUAUUUUCAAAUGAAAAAAAAAAUCUAUUAUUUAAAAAAAUAUUUUAAACUCAUACUUUUAUAUAUAUAUCAAACUCGUGCACAUCUAUAUUAUUAUUAUUAUUAUUUUGUACAAGAGGGACAUGCUACAAAAUUGAUGUGAAUAAAAUCAUAAAAGAAUUUAAAAUGAUAAGAUAUUACUUAUUGAUUAAAUUGAAUAGUUUAAGUAAUAAUGAAAAUAUAAUUAAAGAUGGAUUAUUUUAAUAAUUGUUAUGAUUUAAAUAAAGGUAAAAUAACAACUCUUUCUUAAAAAUUUAUGAUUAAAUAUUAAAUUUCAAAAAAUAAAAAGUAUUAAAGAAAUUAGAUUAAAGUUUGAUUUAAUUUAUAUAUGCAUACUAAUAAUAUAUAAAAUUAAGGGUAAGCUACACUUAUGGUCACUUUUGUUUGAUUUAACAAUGUCUUUAUCAUUUCACGGAGAUAAUACCAACACUAACAACCAUACUUUUUGCUACAAAGAUAAUAUCAAUUUCAAGCCUUAGUGGUCUCGUGUCUUAAUCUAUUUUUAGCUCAAGCAUCGGAGAGAGAUUACAGGUAAAGGAUAUGGCAUUUUAUAUUUCCAACUUUGUCAAUUGAAUAAAAAAAAAUAAAAGGUAUUUUUGAAAGUCAUUUUUUAUAUAAAAUCUUUAAAAUAUUUUUUUACUUUUAAAAUUUUUAAUUUUUUUUAUAAUUUAUAUUUAAUUUUUAAAAUUUUAAGAAUUUUUAAAUAUUUUUAUAAUUUUUAAAAUUCAGACUAAAAUGACAAAUUUUGUAAACAUUGAGGACUAACUUUGUUGAAUUUUUAAAAUUUAGGAUCAAAUUAGUAGAAUGUGUAAAUAUUGAAGGGUUAAAUUUUUUAUUAGGCCAAUAAAAUAAAGUCACGUUAGACUAACUCACGGAAGAAUGACUAAAAUAUUUAAUUUCAAAAAAUUAAAUAAUUAAAAAAAAAUUAAUAGUUGGGUGAUUGAAAUAGAACAAUAUGAAUAGUUAGAUGACUAUUCUUGUACUUUACAACUAAAAUAUUAAUUUAAUUUAGGUUUAACAUAUUUCUGUUAAUCAAAUUGUAAAAAUAUUCAGUAAUUGUUGGUCUAACAAAACAAUUUAAUAGUUUCACAAAAAAAAAAAUAGUUUAAUUCAAAACUUAUUAAGAAAAAAAUAUUUAAUAAUGAAAAAAAGAAAAGCAUUUUUUUAAAAAAUUUGUAAUAAUAAGAAAAAUAUUUUCUUAUAAAAAUAAGAAAAAUAUUUUUUAAUAAUAAAACACAAAAAGAAUUCACAAAAAUACUGUAAUACAAAAAGGGAAAAUUGUAAUUAAAUAUUUUUUAAUAUUAUUUUAAAACAAUUUAUAAAAAUAAUUAAACAUUUUAAAAAGUCAAGAUGUUUUUAAUUCAACCAAAGUACUUUGCACGUUGUAUCGAAAGUAUAUUAUUUAAAUUUUAUAAGAAAAAUAUUUUUAAAUAAAUAAAAAGCACAAAAGAAAAUAAUUUAAUUAUAAUAAGUAUUUUUCGGGUAAAAAGAGGGGAAAAAAUAAAAGAAUUCAUAAAAAUGAUAUGAAAAGGAAAAGUUAAUUAAAUGCUUUAUAAUAUUAUUUUAAAAGAGCUCAUAAAAAUAAUUAAAAAUUUUAGAAGAAUAUUUUAGUUUUUCUUAACACUUUUUGGAGCUGACACAUAAUUUAUAGAUAGAUAGAUAAUCAUACCCUAAAAAUCUAUCCUUUAUAAAGAACUAAAUGUAGUUGUUAUUAUUACCUUGCAGAGUAUUUGGUGAAUUAUGGAAUUUGUAGGACCAAUUUGUGAAGCAUUAAAGUGCUUAGGAGAUCCAACAUGUACAUACAUAGAGCAUCACAGAAAACUUGAAGACAGGAUGAAUGAUCUUCUGGCAAAACAACGCCAACUAAAUGCUAUGAAGCGAGAUGUGGAGCUGAGAAUAGAGGCGGAGCUUCGAUGGGGAAGACUUUUAAGGAAAGAAGUAGAGAACUGGCUUCUAGAGGUGCAAACCGUCAAUGGCAAAGUACAGGAGGUUGAUAAAAGAAAGCAAAAUGUGUCUUGUUUUUCACGUGGGCGCCUUGGGAAACAAGUUUCCCAAACAGUUGAAGAAGUAAAGGAAAUUAUUGAACAAGGCAGGUUCACUGGAGCUCUAGUAAUUGAUGAUCCAUCUACUGCUGGAGUGCCUUUUCAGUUGGAACAUUUGGAAGGUGAAACCGAGGUGAUUGAAGUCAUUUGGAAGCAUUUGAUGAGUGAUGAAAUUGGAAUGGUUGGUGUAUGUGGAAUGGGCGGGAUCGGGAAAACCACUAUAAUGAAGCACAUACACGAUCAACUAUUGGAGGAGACUAAAUCUAAACCCUUGUUUGAGAAAAUCAUUUGGGUCACUGUUUCACAGGACUUCAACAUCACCAGGUUACAACAAGACAUUGCAGAUGCUAUGAAUAUUAAAGAUCUUCCGGAAUCUGAAGAAAAGCGUGCAGCUGUGUUAAGGAACAAAUUGCGACAAAUAAGAUAUGUAUUGAUCUUAGAUGAUGUUUGGGAAGGGUUCGUUCUCGAAAAGGUAGGGAUCCCUGAACCAAUAUCCAGCAAUCGGAGUAAGUUGGUAUUAACUAGUAGAUUGAAAGAGUUUUGUAAAUCUAUAGGCUGUCAUGAGAUAGUCGAAGUGCCUCUACUUUCCUUUGACGAGUCCAUGAAUUUAUUCUUGGUUCAUACCGGACAUGAGGUUCUAAAGGUUCCAUCUUUGGAAAAAAUUUUGGGCGAUAUUGUUAGAGAGUGUGAUAGGUUACCCCUUGCCAUAAAAGUAAUAGCUAGUAGCAUGAAGGGAAUAUAUGAUGUUGUUGAAUGGAGGAAUGCAUUAACAGAGUUACGUAACCAUGUAACAAGUGUGAAGGACACAGAUAAAGAAAUAUACGGGCGAUUAAAGUUCAGUUUCGACCGUUUGAAAGAUUUGAAUAUCCAAAAUUGUUUCCUUUAUUGCUCACUGUACCCAGAAGACUAUAGAAUUCCAAGGAUGGAAUUAAUAGAAUAUUGGAUAGACGAGAGAUUUCUUGAAAUGGCGAGUCGACAACAAUUGCAUGAUAGGGGUCAUACUAUAUUAAAUAGGCUGAUAAACAACUGUUUGUUGGAAAAGGCAGGAGAUGAUGUUAAGAUGCAUGAUGUGAUGAGAGAUAUGGCAUUGUAUAUCAAACAACUUCAUUUUAUUGUAAAAGCUGGCACCGGAUUGGAAGAAUUACCAAGCAAUUCAGAAUGGAAAAAAGAUGUUGAAAGGGCUUCAUUCAUGAUGAAUAAGGUAUCAGAAAUUCCUCUAAGCUUGUCACCCAAUUGUGGAAACCUUUCGACCUUAUUACUGAAAAUGAAUGUGUCCUUGAAAAGGAUUUCCGAAUCAUUCUUUCAGCACAUGCAUAGUCUCAGCAUUCUUGACCUUUCUUAUACCGGUAUCAAGCAAUUGCCCAAUUCCGUUUCAAACUUGGAAACGCUCAAUGCAUUGGUGCUUCGUGGAUGCUGCAACUUGAGAUAUGUGCCUUCACUAGAAAAGCUUAAGGCUCUACGAAAGCUAGACCUCCGUGAUACAGCUAUUAAAGAGGUGCCUAAAGGUUUGGAAAUGUUAGUAAAUCUGACAUAUCUUGAUUUAUCUACUGAAAGCUUAAAGGAGUUCCCAAUGGCAAUUCUCCCUCAGCUUUCCUGUCUACAAUAUUUGAUAUUUUACAGUAAAUCACGUACUGUAAAACUGGAUGGAUCGGAAGCUGCCAGAUUAAGGAAGCUAGAGGAAUUUGAAGGGAGAUUUAAUGAGUUGACAGACUUUAAUGACUACACCGACUCUAUACGAAGUCAAAGUCUUACUUCUUACUUGCUUGUCAUGGCACCACCUGAAGCCAAGUUUAAAGUCAAAGAGGGAACCAGAAAAUUAAAGCUUAAGUAUGAUGGUUCAGGAGACAUCACAGUCCCAAAACUAAGGAAAAUGACAAAAGGACUCAAAGGUACGAUCGAAUCAAAUCUAUAUUAUGUUAAUCUACUUUUAUGAUAUUAAUUUCGUCAGUGUUGAUAUUCAUAUUCCUUUUAGUUAUUGAAUAUUUUAUUCAAAACACAUCGAGUUAAAUAUAAAUACAAUAUUUAAAUGAAGGACAACGAUAGAAAAACUUUUUGAGGAUUGGAAUUAAAUUAUAUAUUUAUCUGAUAGUAAAAAUAUAAUUUUACCAUCUUAAUAGUUUAUAUAUUUAUAAUUUUUGAAGGAUUAAAUUAAAAUUUUAUAAUUUUGAGGAAUUAAAAUAUAAUUUUACUAUUAUUAAUUUAAAAAUAAAAAAUUUUCCAGCUGGCCGCCUGCAAACCCCCGGCUUAGCCACUGAUUCAAAUUAUUUGGUAGCAAAAUAAAAAAUAAAAAAAUACAUUUAGCCAAUUGAGCUUUCAAAGUUUUUUAUUAAUCUGGUCCAAACAUUAAUCAAACCUGCUUAUGUGGCAUCAAAAUCAGUUUUCAACAUUUCAUAAUCAUAUUUUGAGGAAAUUGAAAAAUGAGAAAUGCUUUCUAAAUAUAUAAUUGAUUAAAGCCAAUAUUCAAGAAUAAUUUAUAAAUACUUUUAUAUGCUGCUAAAUAUUGAAUAUCUGUGGAAUCUGUGUCCUUUGUAUAUUUGCAUUUUAUUUAUUUUUAGCAUGCCUUUUGUUUCUUUUCGCAUAUUUUUAACAGUUGAAGGUGUGGAAUAUGUGGCCUUUAAAGAGGAAAAUGGACAAGUGAAAGUGAUUGGUGACGUGGAUCCUGUUCGAAUCGUAAUGAAGCUGAGAAAAUAUAUCCAUGUUGAUAUCUUGUCUGUGGGUCCAAACCGGAGGAGCUUUCGCUCUCUUCUACCCAAGAAGGAAGUAAUUUUAAGUGGAUGCCAGAUCGGAAGAGGUCCAGUGAUUCUUCCAACUGAUCUUAUGCUUCUGAGAAUUUUUGAAUCCCACAAUGUGAGAAGCUUAAGCGAUAUCUCCAUAUUCUUCCAACAAGCAAGCCAGUUAAGGUUCUGUUCAGUUGAAGAUUGUAAAGGGAUAGAAUCCAUUCUCGACUCGUCUUUGUCGAACUCGCUUUGCAGACCACUUGAGAACCUUGAGUACUUGUGGCUUGAAAGGUUGGCUAAUUUGCAUGUGCUUAUUAAAUUCGAAGCACCUCUUUCUAUUUCUAGGUCACGGCCUCUACUAGGCAUCUUUUCUCAUCUUAAAUCAUUUGUGAUUAAAAAAUGCCUAAACAUGAAGCAGCUCUUCCCAUUUAAGCUAGCACAUGACCUUCAAAACCUGGAGAAUCUGGUGGUUUGUAAUUGCGUACAAAUGGAGGAAAUAAUAUCAUCAGAGGAAGAGAAUCACAAGGGAAACGGAAUAAACACUCCCAUGAAAUUCAGUCUUCCCAAAUUAAGGGAGUUAGAAUUGAAGAACUUACCAGAGCUGAAGAGCAUAUGCAGUUCAAAUAGGGAAAUGGUAUGCAAUUCUCUUCGGAAUAUUGAAAUAUCGAAAUGUACGAAUCUGAAAAGGAUGCCUCUGUAUCUUCCUCUUUUUCAAGAUACACACCAAUCAGCUCCUUCUGCUCAUCCUUUCGGAAGAAUCCGCAUAUGUCCAAAGGAGUGGUGGGAAUCAGUAGAGUGGGACUAUCCGAAUGCUAAGGAGGUUCUGCGACCUUGGUUGUGCCGUGUUUAGCGCUGCUGGAAGCCUUUGCUGGUCAAAUCAAAUUCCGGAUCAAGCUAAACAGUGAGUCUUCAUUUCUUGCUUUUAUUUCUAGAAAAAAAUUGAAGAUUUUUUAUUCUUCCAAAAAGAAAACGGGAAAACCUACAAGAAGAGGAUUAUGACUGGCAAAAUAGAAACCAAAGAGAACAAAAAUAUUGCUAAUGUUUAAAACAAAUUUAGAUCAAUUAGCAUCAUGCUUUGUUACCAGCUAUCGGCUAAUUUGGUUGAAAAUGGUUUUAAUAAAGCACGGUCCCAUUUGCUUCUUUGUUUAACCCCAAUGAUUAGGCUUGCUCUAGAACCCUUGAGAUUCUCAUUAUGACAUUAAUGAUUUGAAAGAAUGAACAGCCCCUUUUUCUUCUUUAUUUUGUAACUGCAAGCUUUAAGUUGAUAUAAAUAUGUUUUCCAAUGUAGUAUUCUUGUUUGCUUAGAUCAAUGUCAAAAACCUUGCCUCUAAUGCUUCCCCUUCUUCUCCACUCUUUUUUUUAUUUCUUUGUGGGGUUUUAUUAAAUACAGGUUGUUCAUGCCAUUCUAAAGCUAGCAAAGCAGUUGGCUUGACAAUCAAAUCUUGGAGAAACAAAUCAACCCAACUCAUCACUUUACCUUCAUUCUUCUGUGGUGGUUCUAUAUUUGAUGUGGUACUUCGUCGGAUGCAUCCUUCUCUUGUGGUUUUAUCUGUAAUAAUGAACCUUCAAUUUGGUUUCAAUGUGAUUGGAUUGUUGAUGUUGUAAUUCAACUUUGUACUUGAUAAUCCUGCUUCUAGUUUGCAUCAUUUUUUACUAUGUGGUUGUGUUUCUUGUGGCUUAAUUGUCUCAUUUGAUCUUGAACUUGGCACAUUUAUAUAUAUAUUGAACCAUCCCACAGGGAUAUACCACUUCCUGAAAUGGUGUUUUAUUUAGGUGGCCUUUUUGCUAUUGUGAACCAUCCCAAUGCUAAGCAGGAUCUGCUACCUUACUUGGUAAUGCUAUAGCGCUACUGGAAGCCUUUGUACUUUGAUCAUCUUGAUUUUAAUUAAUUUGCAUCUCAUCUUGCGAAUUGGAGUUAAUAAUCUAAGUUGUUUGCUUUUCUCUUCUUGUAUGAUUUUGCCCAUUUUGUGAGUCUCAUAUCAAUUAUAUUUUUUACAAAACAAGUCCUGGAAAAGAUUGCAAAUAGGGUUACAGGAUUGCUGGGAUUUCAAUUUUAUGUGUAUGGAUCAUAUUAUUCAAUUUCUUAGGAUUAGAGCUCAUUUAUUUAUUUAUGCUAGAUUUAUGGCACACGUAAGUUUUGGUUACAAUAAUAAAAUUAAUUCACAUUGUGCAUGAAAUUUUAAAUUCAAAUCACUUUAUAGUAAAUUUUUAUUGAUUUAUAUUAUGUAAAAAAAGACAAAAACACUCUCAUUAAAAAAAUAAUUUAAGUUAAAUAUGGGCGAAUAUUUAAUAAUUCCGUAAUUAAAUUGAUACCUAAUCAAAUUGAUGUCCAAAUGACUUAUGAUAUCAAUUCAAUAACAUAUUUAAAAUAGAUAAUAACUAUAAAAUAAUUUAGGCACUAAUUUCAGAGUGUUGUUAUAUCCAAUACCCAGCACCUAGAGGCAUUCAAGCUAUAGAGAGAGUCCAAAACUCUAUUUAUUCCUUGCAUCUGAUGGUGGGUUCAUGUUUAGACAUAAUCUUUAUAUAAUCUUUGCAAAACUUAAAUGGUUAGAUUGGAGUGCACCUUUAGAAAAUAUUUCUUCAUCAAUGGUUACACAUUAUAAUUAAGGUAGUGUUUUUUUUUUUUGACAUAAUUAGGUACUGUUUUACUGUUGAAUUUAAUGAGUUACUAAUAACUUGUGAAGAUAAAUCUUGUGAAGCAUAAGUAGGUUUUGCAAAAAAAAAAAAUAAAUAAAGAGUUACUAUUACAAAAUCAUAUACAUUAGAAGAGUAUUUUAAAAAACGUUUCCAGCCAUUAAUUGUCAAAAACAAGAUAUAAAAAAAAUUGAUGCAUGUCAAAUUUUCUAUAGACAUUUAAUUUUGUUCCAACAUUUUAAUUUAAAAUUUAUUAGAUUUCGAUUUGAUUAAACGAGCCUUUAUCUAAAUUUUUUAAAUUAAAUUGAUUUGGAUUCAGAAUUAGAAUAAAAAGCUAGUUUUGAAAUUUAUUUUAUUUAAGUUGGAAUGUAUUUUAUUUUGAGUUUAAAUUAAUUAAUAAAAUAAUUUUAAUUUAAUAUAUUAGGGUUUAGGGGAAGUCAAGAUUUUCAGUUGAUUAAGCAAUUUAUUAGUGAUUAACAGAAUUCUUAACGAGAGAGAGUAGUUCAAAAAUUCAUCUUAACUGAAAUAAUUAAAUUUAAAAAAAUUAAUAUAUCAAAAUAAAAUAAUCACAAUAUUGCAUUCAUGUAGUUAUAUAACUCUACUUUUAGUUAUCGAUAAUUAUUUUUUUUAAAAAUAUAUAUAACAAGAAAUUUCAAAAAAAAAAUUUACUUUUUGUUGAGGCUAUAGAUCAAAUGGCUUCUCCAACCGUUAAAACCAUCAUUGUGAAAGAAAAAUCAGCUUGAUCAAAAUUGUAUACAGGAGCUAGAAUUGAAUUACUUUAAUAAUUUAAUUUAUUAAAAAUUUUAAUAUUUUUUUAAUAAAUCAAAUUUUACCCACCCUAAUCUUUUAUAUAUAAAGAAAGACUCUAAACAUUUUUUUUUUUAUAUUUUCAACCAAGUUGAAGCUAAACAAUCUUGAAUCAUGUUUUAGUCAAAUUUAUUAUUUUUAAAUUUGGUGAAGUUGGUUUGAUCCAGCAGUUUACAAAGCUCUUUCAGCCAGUAAUAAGCCAAAUGUGGGGGAAUUUAAAAUUCCGAGAUUUCCCUGAAAUCAUUUAAACAAGUCAACUCAAGUUAAGCUCAUCUCCUUUUAUUCUUCUACAUUGGCUGCUCCAAUACCAUUAUUUUUCACAUCAUUUAGGCAAACAAUUCCGGAGUUGAUACAGCAGACACGGUGAAGCAACGCCAAGGUAACAUAUCUUCUCCACAGUAGCUAAGUAUAUAUUUGUUUACUCUGAAUCAAUAUCUGAUUUGAAUCGCUUUUCUAUUUAGUAGGUCUUGAAUAUUACUCCCAACAAAUUCCUAUUAUCACACGCUUUCCCCCUUUCCCUCAUCUUUGUCUAAUAUUUCAGGUAAGCUUUCCUUUUAUUUUCAAAGAUGAAAGACUAUGCGUGUGGAUUUGAGACUCAUCUGAUUUCUUCUUUGUUUAAGCUAUGGUUUUAGAGGAAUUUCAAAUCCUACUUCCAGAAUUGAGUUUCGCGACAAUCUCUAGUUUUUUCUUUUAAAUAGAAAUGAUCAAAUUACUUAUUCCACCAUUAAAUGUAACAAAAGACUAACAACGCAUUUCCACAUUAAUCACACUAAAACUAGGGGUUGUUGCUACUUUGGUUUACCCAAAUAUAUAUAUAUUUAAAAGUAGAUAACAUUUGAUCUUAUAUUUUUGUUCACGUUAGUUUUUUAAUUUGAUAACUUUUCUCAAUUUUAAUCAUUGCAAUGAUAUUAAAAUAUGGUAUUCUACCAUGUUAUCACCUAAAUCUUUUUAUAAAACUUAUACUUUUUAGAUAAAUGUGACAUAAUAACGGAGUGUCAUAUUAUCACAUAAAUCAAAAUUGAGAAAUUUGUCCAGUUUUGAGAUUAAUUUGGAAAAAAGAGUAUAGAGACUAAGUUAGAAAGUUGUCAAAUUCAAAUAUUACAUGUUGCUUAAUCCUAUUUAAAAAGAAACUGCAAUCAUUUAUAACUCAUUUUUUUAAAAUUACUUAAUAUAACUCAAUUUAGGAUGUGCUUGAUAAACCAUUUAAAAUGAAAAUUUUAAAUAUUCAAAGUCUAUUUGGACAUCACAAGAUAUUUAGUUGGAAAUGUAAUUACAUUAGAUUCUGCAAUUAACAAAAGAAUGACUACAAUAUUUAAUUUUGAAAAAUUGGGUGGUUAAAAUAAAAAAAAUUAAUAGUUUAUUGACCAAGGUAUAAUAAACUAAAUAGUUAAAUGAAUAUUCAUAAAAUAUUUAUUAAUUUAAUUUUAAUAUAUUUCUGAUAACCAAAUUAUAAAAAUAUUCACUAUUGGUCUAACCAAAAUAAUUUACGUGUUUAACAGAAAAGUAUAUUUUAAUUUAAAAUUUUCUUAUUAAGAAUAUCAUAUUUUAAAAAUAAAACACUAAAAAAAUUCAUAAAAAAUAAUAAUAAAAGGGAAAAGCUAAUUAGACAUUUUAGAAAGUUAAAAUGUUUUUAGUUCAAUCAAAGUACUUUGCACGUUGUAUCGAAAGUAUAUUAUUUAAAUUUUAUAAGAAAAAUAUUUUUAAAUAAAUAAAAAGAACAAAAGGAAAAAAUAAAUAUAAUAAGAAAAAUUAUUUUACUGGAAAAAAAAUAAUUCAUAAAAAUUAUACGAAAAGGGAAAAUCAAUUAAAUACUUUAUAAUAUUAUUUUAAAAGAACUCAUAAAAAAAUUAAAUAUUUUAAAAGGGUAAUAAUGUUUUAUUUAAAUAUUUUAUAUACGUAUUUUAGAAGAUUUUAUAUAUUUUGGAAGAAUAUUUUAUUUUUUAAUACUUUUUGGAGCUGACACUUAAUUUAUAUAUUGAUAGAUAUAUAAUCGUACAUUAAAAUCUAUCCUUCAUAAAGAAAUAAGUGUCACUAACGGACGUAGUUAUUAUUACUACAUUGCAGAUUAUUUGGUGAAUUAUGGAACUUGUAGGACCAAUUUGUGAAGUGCUAAAGUGCUUAGGAGAUCCAACAUGUACAUUCAUACAACAUCACAGAAAACUUAAAGACAGGAUGAAUGAUCUUCAAGAGAGACUAAUCCGACUAAAUGCUAUGAAGAGAGAUGUGGAGCGGAGAAAAAAGGCAGAGCUUCGAUGGGGAAGACUUCUAAGGGAAGAAGUAGAGAAGUGGCUUCUAGAUGUGCAAACCGUCAAUGAUACAAUGCGGGACAUUGAUGAACGAAUGCAAAAUGUGUCUUGUUUUUCACGUGCACGCCUUGGAAAACGUGUUGCUCAAACAGUUGAACAAGUGGAGGGAAUUAUUGAACGAGGUAGGUUCCCUGAAGCUCUAGUAAUUGAUAAUCCAUCUACUGCUGGAGUGCCUUUUCAAUCGGAACAUUUAGAAGGUGAAACCAUGGUGAUAGAAGACAUUUGGAACUACUUAAUGAGUGAUGAAAUUGGAAUGAUUGGAGUAUGUGGGAUGGGUGGGAUCGGGAAAACCACUAUCGUGAAGCACAUUUACUAUGAACUAUUGAAGGAGACUAAACCUUUGUUUGAUAAAAUCAUUUGGGUCACUGUUUCAAAGGAGCUCAACAUUCCCAAAUUACAGCAAAACCUUGCAAAUGCUAUGAAUAUUGUAGGUCUUCCAGAAUCUGAACCAGAGCGUGUAGCAGUAUUAAUGGAUAAAUUGGGACGAAGAAGAUAUGUAUUGAUCUUAGAUGAUGUUUGGAAAAAGUUCUCUCUGGCAGAGGUAGGGAUUCCUAAACCAACCUCCAGCAAUGGGAGUAAGUUGGUAUUAACUAGUAGGUUGAUUGAGGUUUGUAGAUCAAUGGACUGUAAGGUAGUCAAAGUACCUCCACUCUCCAAUGAGGAGUCCAUGAAUUUAUUCUUGAAGCAUGCUGGACGUGGGGUUCUAAAGGUUCCAUCUUUGAAAGAAAUUUUGGACAACGUUGUUAAGGAGUGUGAUGGGUUACCCCUUGCCAUUGCUGUAAUAGCUGGGAGCAUGAAGGGAAUAUAUGAUGUUGCGGAAUGGAGGAACGCAUUAAGAGAGUUACGAGACCAUGUAAGAAGCGUGAAGGGCGCAGAUGUUGAAAUAUAUGAGCGAUUGAAGUUCAGUUUCGAUCGUUUGGGAGAUUUGAAAAUCCAAAGUUGUUUCCUUUAUUGCUCACUAUAUCCAGAAGACUAUAUAAUUCCAAGGGAGGAAUUAAUAGAAUACUGGAUAGAUGAGGAAUUUCUUGGAACUGGGAGUCGACAAGAGUUGUAUGAUAAGGGUCAUACUAUAUUAAAUAGGCUGGAAAAUAAUUGUUUGUUGGAAAAGGUUGGUAGAGAUACUGUGAAGAUGCAUGAUGUAAUGAGAGAUACAGCAUUGUAUAUCAAAGGUUCUGGCUCCGAUUUUAAGGUACAAUCUGGCAUUGGACUAAAAGAACUACCAACCAAGCAAGAAUGGGGAGAAGAUCUUGAAAAAGUUUCCUUCAUGGUGAAUAACGUAUCUGAGAUUCCUCCGCACUUGUCACCCAAUUGUGAGGUUCUUUCUACCUUAUUAUUGCAAAAGAAUGAAUCAUUACAAAGAAUUUCAGAAUCGUUCUUUCAACAUAUGCAUAGACUCAGCAUUCUUGAUCUUUCUUAUACCAAUGUCAAGCAACUGCCAACUUCUGUGUCAAACUUGGAAAAGCUCAAAGCAUUGGUGCUUCGUGGAUGCUACAACUUGAGAUAUGUGCCUUCACUGGAAAAGCUUGAGGCUCUAAGAAAGUUGGACCUCAGUCGUACAGCUAUUGAAAAGGUGCCUCAAGGUUUGGAAAUGUUAUCAAAUCUAACAUAUCUCAAUUUAUAUACAAAAAGCUUAAAGGAGCUGCCAGUUGCAAUUCUACCCAGGCUUUCUUGUCUGCAAUGUUUGAUAUUAUACGUUGAAUCAAGUCGUGUAAAAAUGACUGGAUUCGAUGCUGCCAGAUUAACGAAGCUAGAGAGAUUUGAAGGGAGAUUUACUGAGUUGAUAGACUUUAAUGCCUACACCAAGUCUAUACAAUGUCAACUGCUCACUUCUUACUUGCUUGUCAUGGCACCACUUGAAGCCAAGUUUAACGUCAAACAACGUAUAAAAGGCAUAAAUUGUGUUUACCGUUUCAAGUUGUUGAAUGUGGACAGCGACAAAGGGAGGCAGAAGGCGAUGAUGCUCGCAAGCGGGCUCCAAGGUACGAAUGCAAUUAAAUCCAUAAAAAUUCAUGUUAAGAAAUGGCUUAAAAUUGGUAGUGGAUUGUUGUUGUUGGUAGUGGGUUGUUGGUGGUAGUGGAUUAGUGGAUGGUUGUUGGUGUCCAUUUUCAACCACAAAUCUUUGCCAAAGUUUUGGACAAUUAUGUCCUUGAACUCUCUUAUAAAUAGAGAGGUUCAUUAGCCAUAUUUAUCAUCCCAAACCAAGAGAGAGCAAAGCUUGUUCUUUGAAAGCUAGGAUUUUAGCUUUCGGGUUUUUUUUAUAGGGGUUGAGAGUUGUGAGGUUCUCGGGUUGUGUCUUGAGUGUAAAACACUUGUAAUCUUCAUCUUGUUAUAGUGAAAUUUCUUUUCGCCUCUGCCCGUGGACGUAGGCAUUAAAGCCGAACCACGUAAAUCCUUGUGUUCACUUUAUUUUUCGUUCCGGUCAAUUUACUUGUAGUCAUAUCGGAGUUCUCGAAUCGAUCCUUUCCGCAACAAAUUGGUAUCAGAGCGUAGUUGAAGGAGUGAUAAUAUUUUCUGAAUUGCCCUGUGACUGCAGCUUUGUCUGAUCUUUCACAUCAGGAAGAAAAUAUUAUCAUUCAUUCAAAGGUUCCAAAUUAUGGCUACAAGUGUUUCAUCGACUAAGUAUGAUGUCGAGAAAUUUACCGGGAAAAAUAGUUUCAGUUUAUGGCGCAUCAAGAUGCGGGCAGUGCUGGUUCAACAAGGAUUGCUAAAAGCAUUGUCUGGUAAAGAUAAAUUACCAAGCACGCUUUCGGAAGAGCAAAAGGAUGACAUGCUAGAAAGAGCACAUAGUGCUAUUCUGCUAUGUCUAGGAGAUGAAGUGCUACGAGAAGUAGCGGAUGAGAAAACCGCGUCCGGUUUGUGGCUCCGGUUAGAAAGCAAGUACAUGACGAAGUCAUUGACGAACCGGCUCUACCUCAAGCAAAGACUCUAUGCCCUGAAGAUGGAGGAAGGUACACCUGUUUCCCAGCACCUGGAUAAAUUCAAUUCCAUUAUCAUGGAUUUGAAUAAUAUCGAUAACAAAAUCGAUGAUGAGGACCAAGCAAUAAUUGUUUUGUGUUCUUUGCCUCCCUCGUAUGAGAAUUUUGUUGAUACAAUGAUGUACGGUCGUGAUGACCUGACUCUAGAGGAGGUGAAAAAUGCCUUAAGUUCCAGUGAGUUGAGGAAGAAAAUCACUGGUAAGGUGGUCGAAAACAAUGAAGGCGAAGGCUUGGUUGCUCGAGGAAGAUCCAAGGCAAAGGGUGGAAGUUCAAGUAAAAGCCAUCCUAGAUCGCAGUCCAAGAAGAGAAUACAGUGCUACUACUGUAAGAAGUACGGGCACAUGAAGGUAGAUUGUCCGAAAAGGAAGGAGAAAUCAGAAUCACAGGAGCAACAAAAUGAUCGUGCGAAUGUAGCUGAUGCAGAUUCUUCAAGUGAUGCCGAGAUCGUUCUUGCAGUAUCCGACUCUUACGCUGGUGGGAGAUGGAUUCUUGAUACGGGAGCUACAUUUCAUAUAAGUACUUCGAAAGAUGCAUUCUCAACAUACGAGAAGCAUUCUGGUUCAGUACUAAUGGGAAAUGACCACGCAUGUCAAGUCAUGGGGAUUGGCACAGUUCGUAUAAAGAUGUUUGACGGUAUUGUUAGAACUCUAACUGAUGUUCGGCACAUUCCAGAAAUGAAGAAAAAUUUGAUCUCUUUGAGUACGUUGGACAAGAAAGGCUUUCGGUACUCUGCUGAAGGUGGAGUUCUCAAGGUAUUCUCGGGUGCUUUGACUGUGAUACGUGGUAAUUUGGAGCGGGGCCUUUACUUCCUCGAUGGUUCCUCGGUUACAGGUGUUGCGGGAGUGUCAUCAUCAGAUGAUCUAGAUUCUGACACCACGAAGUUAUGGCAUAUGCGGCUCGGGCAUAUGAGCGAGAGAGGCUUAUCGGUGCUAAGCAAACGAGGAUUAUUGUCUGGGCAGUGUACAGGAAAGUUGAAUUUCUGUGAGCACUGCGUCUUCGGUAAGCAGACUCGGGUAAAGUUCAGCACUGGGAUUCACAAGACAAAAGGCACAGUGGAUUACUUCCAUUCUGACCUUUGGGGGCCUUCUCCGACAAUUUCUAAAGGUGGUUACAGAUAUCUGCUUACCUUUAUCGAUGAUUACUCGAGAAAGGUUUGGGUGUAUUUUCUGAAGAGCAAGUAUGAGGUUCUCAUCAACUUCAAGCAAUUUAAAGCUUUGAUCGAAAAUCAAACAGGAAAGAAGAUCAAGCGAUUCCGGACGGAUAAUGGCUUGGAGUUUUGCUCAGGUGAAUUCAAUGAGUUCUGCAAGAAUGAAGGAAUAGUGAGACACCGCACUGUUCGUCGAACACCACAACAAAAUGGAGUUGCAGAACGCAUGAAUAGAACUCUCUUGGAGCGAGCUCGUUGCAUGCGAUCAAAUGCUGGGCUCGGUGAAGAAUUUUGGGCUGAAGCUGUUAAUACUGCUUGUUAUUUGGUUAACAGAUCUCCGUCAACAGCUAUUGAGCUGAAGACUCCUGAGGAAGUAUGGUCUGGUUCUCCUGCUGAUUACUCUGGUUUAAGAGUGUUUGGCUGCCCUGCGUAUGCUCAUGUAAAUAAUUUAAUAUAUUAAGUCAAGAUUUUAAUUUAAUAUAUUAAGUCAAGAUUUUUAGUUGAUUAAGCAAUUUAUUAGUGAUUAAUGGAACUAGUUCAAAAAUUUAUCUUAACUGAAAUAAUUACAUUAAAAAAAUUUAAAAUAUCAUAGAGUGAACAUGAUAUAGUUUACUUUUUUUCAUCCUACUUAUGAGUCUUCUUGAAUAGUUUCAUUAUCUUCACAAUUUGCAUUCAUGUAGUUAUAUCACUCUACUUUUAGUUAUCCAUAAUUAAUUUUUUAAAUAUAUAUAUAUAACAAUGAAAAGUUGAGAAAUUAAAAAAAAAAAAACUUUUUGUUGAGGCUAUAGAUCAAACAGCUAUAUUUGUUAAAUGACUACUCCAACCGUUAAAACCAUCUUUGUGAAAAAAAUCAGCUUGAUCAAGAUUGUAUACAGGAGCUAGAAUUGAAUGACUAAUAAUUUAAAUUGUUUUAAAAAAAUUAAUCAACUUUAAUAAUUUCUUUUGAGAUUAAAAAAAUUUAAUCAAUUUUUUAAUAAAUUAAAGUUUACCCAUCCCUAAUCUUUUAAAUAUAAAGAAAGACUCUAAACAGAUUUUGCUUAUAUAUAUUUUCAACCAAGUUGAAGCUAAACAAACAUAAUCAUGUUUUAGUCAAAUUUAUUAUUUUUAAAUUUGGUGAAGUUGGUUUGAUCCAGCAGUUUACAAAGCUCUUUCAGCCAGUAAUAAGCCAAAUGUGGGGGAAUUUAAAAUUCCGAGACUUCCCUGCAAUCAUUUAAACAAGUCAACUCAAGUUAAGCUCAUCUCCUUUUAUUCUUCUACAUUGGCUGCUCCAAUACCAUUAUUUUUCACAUCAUUUAGGCAAUUAAAGAAAAGAGCAGCAGAGACGGUGAAGGAACCAAGGUAACAUACCUUCUCCACAGUAGCUAAGUAUAUUUGUUAACUCUGAAUCCAUAUCUGAUUUGAAUCGCUUUUCUGUUUAGUAGGUUUUGAAACAAAUUCUUAUUAUCACACGCUUUCCUCCUUUGCCUCUUCUUUGUCUAAUAUUUCAGGUAAGCUUUUCUUUUAUUUUCAAAGAUGAAAGACUAUGCCUGUGGAUUUGAGAACCAUUCUUUGUUUAAGCUAUGGUUUUGGAGGAAUUUCAAUUCUUACUUCCACAUUUGAGUUUCCCAACAAUCUCUACUUUUUUUUAUUUUAUUUUAAAUAGAAAUGAUCAAAUUACUUAUUCUGCCAUUAAAUGUAACAAAAGACUAACAUCUCAUUUUCACAUUCAUCACACUAAGACAAGGGGUUGUUACUGCUUUGGUUUAACCAAAUAUAUAUAUUUAAAAGUGGAUAACAUUUGAUCUUAUAUUUUUGUUUACGUUAGUUUUGUAAUUUGAUAACUUUUCUCAAUUUUGAUCAUUGCAAUGAUAUUAAACUAUGGUAUUCUACCAUGUUAUCACCUAAAUCUUUUUAUAAAAUUUAUACUUUUUAGAUAAAUGUAACAUAAUAUCGGAGUGUUAUAUUAUCACAUAAAUCAAAAUUGAGAAAUUUGUCCAUUUUUGAGAUUAUUUUGAAAAAAAAAGUAUAGAGACUAAGUUAGAAAGUUGUUAAAUUCAAAGAUUACAAUAAACUGCAAUCAUUUAUAACUCUUUUUUUAUUAUAAAUUACUUAAUAUAACUCAAUUGAGGAUGUGUUUGAUAAACCAUUUAAAAUGAAAAUUUUAAAUAUUCAAAGUCUAUUUGGACAUCACAAAAUAUUUAGUUGGAAAUGUAAUUACGUUAGAUUCCGCAAUUAACAAAAGAAUGACUAAAUAUUUAAUUUUGAAAAAUUAGGUGGCUAAAACAAAAAAAUUUAUAGUUAAUUGACCAAGUUAUAAUAAACUAAAUAGUUAAAUGAAUAUUCAUAAAAUAUUUAUUAAUUUAAUUUUAAUAUAUUUCUGAUAACCAAAUUAUAAAAAUAUUCACUAUUGGUCUAACCAAAAUAAUUUACUAGUUUUACGGACAAGUAUAUUUUAAUUUAAAACUUAAUAAGAAAAAUAAUUUAUUAAUGAAAAAGGAAAUGACAAAAAAAAUUUAAGCUAUAAUAAUAAGAAAAUCAUAUUUUAAUAAUAAAAACCAAAAAAUUCACAAAAAAUAAUAACAAAAGUGAAAAGCCAAUUAGACAUUUUAGAAAGUUAAAAUGUUUUUAGUUCAAUCAAAGUACUUUGCACGUUGUAUCGAAAGUAUAUUAUUUAAAUUUUAUAAGAAAAAUAUUUUUUAAAUAAAUAAAAAGAACAAAAGGAAAAAAUAAAUAUAAUAAGAAAAAAUAUUUUACUGGAAAAAAAAAGAAUUCAUAAAAAUUAUACGAAAAGGGAAAAUCAAUUAAAUACUUUAUAAUCUUAUUUUAAAAGAACUCAUAAAAAAUUAAAUAUUUUAAAAGGGUAAAAAUGUUUUAUUUAAAUAUUUUAUAUACGUAUUUUAGAAGAUUUUAUAUAUUUUGGAAGAAUAUUUUAUUUUUUAAUUUAUUUUUGGAGCUGGCACUUAAUUUAUAUAUUGAUAGAUAUAUAAUCGUACAUUAAAAUCUAUCCUUCAUAAAGAAGUAAGUGUGACUAAUGGACGUAGUUAUUAUUACUACAUUGCAGAUUAUUUGGUGAAUUAUGGAACUUGUAGGACCAAUUUGUAAAGUGCUAAAGUGCUUAGGAGAUCCAACGUGUACAUACAUACAGCAUCACAGAAAACUUAAAGACAGGAUGAAUGAUCUUCAGGAGAGACUAGUUCGACUAAAUGCUAUGAAGAGAGAUGUGGAGCGGAGAAUAAAGGCAGAGCUUCGAUGGGGAAGACUUUUAAGGGAAGAAGUAGGGAAGUGGCUUCUAGGUGUGCAAACCGUCAAUGAUACAAUGCGGGACAUUGAUGAACGAAUGCAGAAUGUGUCUUGUUUUUCACGUGCACGCCUUGGAAAACGUGUUGCUCAAACAGUUGAACAAGUGGAGGGAAUUAUUGAACGAGUUAGGUUCCCUGAAGCUCUAGUAAUUGAUAAUCCAUCUACUGCUGGAGUGCCUUUUCAAUCGGAACAUUUAGAAGGUGAAACCAUGGUGAUAGAAGACAUUUGGAACUAUUUAAUGAGUGAAGAAAUUGGAAUGAUUGGAGUAUGUGGGAUGGGUGGGAUCGAGAAAACCACUAUCGUGAAGCACAUAUACUAUGAACUAUUGAAGGAGACUAAACCUUUGUUUGAUAAAAUCAUUUGGGUCACUGUUUCAAAGGAGCUCGACAUUCCCAAAUUACAGCAAAACCUUGCAGAUGCUAUGAAUAUUGUAGGUCUUCCAGAAUCUGAACCAGAGCGUGUAGCAGUAUUAAUGGAUAAAUUGGGACAAAGAAGAUAUCUGUUGAUCUUAGAUGAUGUUUGGAAAAAGUUCUCUCUGGCAGAGGUAGGGAUUCCUAAACCAACCUCCAGCAAUGGGAGUAAGUUGGUAUUAACUAGUUGAUCGAUUGAGGUUUGUAUAUCAUUGGACUGUAAGGUAGUCAAGGUGCCUCCACUCUCCAAUGAGGAGUCCAUGAAUUUAUUCUUGGAGCGUGGGGUUCUAAAGGUUCCAUCUUUGAAACAAAUUUUGGACGACGUUGUUAAGGAGUGUGAUGGGUUACCCCUUGCCAUAGCUGUAAUAGCUGGGAGCAUGAAGGGAAUAUAUGAUGUUGCAGAAUGGAGGAAUGCAUUAAGAGAGUUACGAGACCAUGUAAGAAGCGUGAAGGGCGCAGAUGUUGAAAUAUAUGAGCGAUUGAAGUUCAGUUUCGAUCGUUUGGGAGAUUUGAAAAUCCAAAGUUGUUUCCUUUAUUGCUCACUAUAUCCAGAAGACUAUAGAAUUCCAAGGGAGGAAUUAAUAGAAUAUUGGAUAGAUGAGGAAUUUCUUGGAACUGGGAGUCGACAAGAGUUGUAUGAUAAGGGUCAUACUAUAUUAAAUAGGCUGGAAAAUAAUUGUUUGUUGGAAAAGGCUGGUACAGAUACUGUGAAGAUACAUGAUGUAAUGAGAGAUACAGCAUUGUAUAUCAAAGGUUCUGGCUCCCGUUUUAAGGUGCAAUCUGGCAACGGACUAAAAGAACUACCAAGCAAGCAAGAAUGGGGAGAAGAUCUUGAAAAAGUUUCCUUCAUGGUGAAUAACGUAUCUGAGAUUCCUCCGCACUUGUCACCCAAUUGUGAGGUUCUUUCUACCUUAUUGUUGCAAAAGAAUAGAUCAUUACAAAGGAUUUCAGAAUCGUUCUUUCAGCAUAUGCAUAGACUCAACAUUCUUGAUUUUUCUUAUACCAAUGUCAAGCAACUGCCAAAUUCUGUGUCAAACUUGGAAAAGCUCAAAGCAUUGGUGCUUCGUGGAUACUACAACUUGAGAUAUGUGCCUUCACUAGAAAAGCUUGAGGCUGUAAGAAAGUUGGACCUCAGUCAUACAGCUAUUGAAAAGGUGCCUAAAGGUUUAGAAAUGUUAUUAAAUCUAACAUAUCUUAAUUUAUGUACUGAAAGCUUAAAGGAGCUGCCAGUUGCAAUUCUACGUAGGCUUUCUUGUCUGCAAUGUUUGAUAUUAUACGUUGAAUCAAGUAGUGUAGAAAUAAAUGGAUUCGAUGCUGCCAGAUUAACGAAGCUAGAGAUAUUUGAAGGGAGAUUUACUGAGUUGAUAGACUUUAAUGCCUACACCAAGUCUAUACAAGGUCAGGAGCUCACUUCUUAUUUGCUUGUCAUGGCGCCACUUAAAGCCAAGUUUAAAGUCAAUGAGAUGACCCUAGAAUUAACGUUUAAGUGUGACGGUGUAAGUGCACCUCGAUUCUGCCCAUCUUGAGUUGCGUGUUUCCUCCAAGAUUCUGGCGUUCAUGUUUCUUGCUUUUGUUUCGGGUGUGUCUGCCUUAUUCGUCUUGAAUAUUAUGGCAGUAAAGGGUUCCUGUUUGGGUGGUUCCUUUUGGUGAUGUUUCUUUUAGUUUUUUAUAUUUUUUUUAUUCUGAUUGAUGGUGCGUCUGAGAUUGAUUGUGAUUGAUGUUUGACAGAGUGACGAUUGGAGAAUGGUUUUUCUUGCACUGUUUGUUGCGCCGUGGCUUGUGUUCGGGUUUUAACUGUUGGUUUUCUUUGUGUUGUUUUUCUUUUCUUUUGGUGGCUGAGGGUCUUGUCCACUGGUUUUGAUGCAUGUGGAGUAUGCAUGUCGUUUUUUUUAUGUCAAUCGUUUUGUUUUUAUUUUUUAUUUCUGUUUCCUUUUUCCGUUGAUUUAUUGGGAUUUUUAAGUGGGUUAUGGUGCUGGGUGUAGGGUUUUUGCAUGGUUUUACGUUUAUCGCGUGGGACUUGAUUUGAUUGCAACCGUGGCCCACACGGUGGUUCAAUCUUACGUUUAUUUUUAUUUUUGUACGUUUCUUGGGGGUUAUUCUGCAUGGUUUUUACGUUCUUUUCUGGGGGCUAUAAAUGUUUUAACUUGAUCGUUAGGUUUCGUAUUUUUUGCUUGAUUCUUUUUAGUUUUUUGUUUCUGUUAUUCGGUGUUUCUUUAUGCGCUUUUGUGGGUGUUUUUCUGGGUUUUUUUGUGGUUUUGCGCCCUGCGUCUUGGUUGGUCAUUGGCCUGGUAAGGUUUUGAUUCUUUUUCGACCUGUUUGAGGUGUGGGGGAUCUCUCUUGAUUUUUUGUCGUUGUAUCUGUGUCUGCGGGGUAUGUGGCUCUUGGUUUUUUUUUUUCCUGUUCGAGGACUUUGUUUUUUUGCGGUGGAUCUUUUUUGUUUUCUUUCGGGUUCUUUUUCUGUGUUCUGGCAGGUUUUGGGGACUGUUUGGGUUAUGGAAGAGAGGUCGGAAAUUGAAAUCACUCCUAUGACGGAGGAACUAAGCGACCUUCUGGUGAGGCUUAAUUUUUCAGAAGAAGAAUCAGUCCAAAUUAUGUGCAAAAAGGAUGAUCACAGUGGACGUGGUUUCGAGUCAUGGGCAAUCGGUAAGAUUAUGGCGACAGAGACACCGAACAGGGAGGCGAUGUACAGAGUUUUCAAGUCGCUAUGGUACACGAAGGAAGAGGUGGAGUUUGUUGAGUUAAAGGAAGGGGCGGUGAUUGUUAAGUUUGGAUGCCAGGAGGACCGCAAUCGCAUUUUGAACCUAACACCGUGGUUAUUUGAUAGGUGCUUAUUCUCAAUGCUUCCUUUUGAGAAAGGAAAAGACAUCGAGUCUUAUGAGUUUGGGUGGUCGCCUUUUUGGCUUAGGAUUUACAACGUCCCUUUAGAGCUUAUGGAUAGACAGACGGCGCUGGAUGUUGGAAAUGCGGUGGGCGAGUUGGUGGCGAUAGAUUAGAAGGACCGGAAUGGGGGGUGGACAGAAUUUUUUAGGAUAAAAGUUAAAAUAAAUAUCCAAAAACCCUUAAGGAGAGUUGUGAAAUUACUGGAUAGAGAGGGUUCGGAAGUGACAGGGGUCAUAAAAUAUGAACGGCUCCCGGAUUGUUGCUAUGCUUGUGGGCUGAUAGGACACUCGAGCAAGAUUUGCAAUUUUAACAAGGAGAGUUUGGCGUUGACUGAGUCAAGACUACAAUAUGGGGGCUGGUUGAGGGCACCAACUGUGAAUUUGACCUAAAACAGAGAAAUAAGGAGAAAUAGAGUGGAAAUUGUUAAACAAAGUGAUCAGAGAAGUGAUGAUAGGGAGGAAAGCCAGUCAAAUUCGAGGGGGGAGAGUGGGCAGACGGGACAGGAAAAAAAGGAUAAAUCUGGGAAUGAAGAGAUAAUGUCUACCUCACCUGUGGGAAAAAAGUUUCAUAGAAUUAUAAGGGACGGUAUGGGAAGGAUUAAGAAUAAACGAAAGAGACACUGGGUUUCAGGAGAAGAAAACUUGGAAGAAAGUCCGACAAAAUUGGCAAAAAGGAGGCUGAUAGAAAGUUUUUAACCCUUGAAGGCGGUGGCUGGUGACCAGCCCCGCCAAGAACAAUGAAAAUCUUAUGUUGGAACUGUCGGGGGGUUGGUAACCCUGCGACAGUUCGCGAGUUAAAGCAACUUCUUGUUGCUAAUGCUCCUAAUAUUGUUUUCCUGUGCGAGACCAAAGUCCAUGCAAAUGAGUUGUCCCGUAUUCGUUUUUUGUGUAGGAUGGAGGGAUGUUUUGCUAUUAGCUCGGAUAGGAAGAGUGGUGGUAUGGCUCUGAUAUGGAGGGAAGGUGUGGAUGUUACGAUCCAGAAUUACUCUAAACAUCAUAUUGAUUCGGUGGCUUACAGGGAGGAAGGGGAGAAAGUCCAGUUCACUGGCUUCUAUGGGCAUACUGAGCUAAAUCUUAGAAAGGAAGCUUGGGAGAUGUUGAGAAGAGUGAAAAAUACGGUGAAUGAAGGAUGGAUUGUGGGAGGCGAUUUUAACGCUAUUUUAAACGAUUCUGAAAAAGAAGGUGGUCGCAGGAAGUCCAGAGCUGUUAUGGAUGAGUUCGGGGAUAUCCUGGAAGAGUUAGGUUUGAGGGAUGUGAAAACGAACAACGGUUGGUUUACGUGGUCAAAUAACAGAGAGGGAAACAGACUUGUGAAAGAAAGGCUGGAUAGGUUUGUCGUCUCGGACGAUAUCAUGGAAAAAAUGCCGUUCAUCGCUUCCUAUGUUGUGCGCCAGUCCAAGUCUGACCAUGAAGUCAUUAUUAUGGACCUGUUUGGUAAUAGACUGCAGGAGAAGGGUAAUGACCCGAAGAUUUUCUUCAGGUAUAAUCGGUGUUGGGCCAAGGAGAAGGAGGCCAGAGACAUCAUAUCUGGUAUUUGGGCUAACGAGGGACCAAAUUUGUUGGGGAAGAUGGAGUUGGUAAAGGAAAGGUUAGGCCCGUGGCAAUUCAAAAGGUACAGAAAAAUGAAAGACAAAGUUAAAAGCUUGGAAAAGGAUAUUGGGAGAUUUAUGGACAGUCCCAUGAACGAGAGAACUACCGUUUUACUUAAAGAAGCUCGAAGCAAGUUGGGCAAGUUGUAUGAAGCGGAGGAGUAGUAUUGGGCGACUAGGUCGAGGUCCCAGUGGCUUAGGGAAGGGGAUAGAAACAUUCGUUAUUUUCAUGUGCGGGCUUCGGGGCGUCGAAAAAAGAACAGCAUUGAUAGGCUUAAAGACGAGCAAGGAAUUUGGCAUAAGGACAAUGAGGAGAUUUGUCACGUUGCUUGGGAUUACUUUAAUGGUUUGUUCAAGACAUCCCUUGAGGCGGUGGACGAUGGAGGCCUACAUGUUAUUCCUAAAUGCAUCAAUGAGGAUACGAACAUGUGUUUGAAUGGGGAUUUUACUAAGAAUGAGACUAUGAUGGCCUUUUCUCAAAUGGAUCCCCGUAAGGCUCCUGGGAUUGAUGGGUUAUCGGGGAGUUUUUAUAAGGACCAUUGGUCGACUGUGGGCAACGAUGUGUUGAGCAUGUGUCAGGAUAUCCUUAAUGGCCAUAGGAGUAUUGAGCCUAUUAACGAAACUCUUAUUGUUUUGAUCCAAAAAUUAAAAACCCUUGUGUUAUGGCUAACUUUCGUCCCAUUAGCUUAUGCAGGUUUCUUUACAAGAUUGUUUCAAAAACCUUAGCGAACAGACUUAAGGCGGUUCUUCAUUCGUGCAUAAGCCAAAUUUAGAGUGCUUUCGUCCCUAAUAGGAUGAUUCAUGAUAACAUUUUGGUGGCUUAUGAGAUUAUGCAUUACCUCAGGAGUUCGAAAAAUGGCCCUAACAAGGGUUGUGUGGUCAAGCUCGAUAUGAGUAAAACCUACGACCAUGUGGAAUGGGGUUUUCUAAAGAAUGUCAUGAUUAAGAUGGGUUUCACUGAGAUUUGGGUUAACAAAAUUAUGGACUGCGUGUGUUCGGUUCGGUAUAGAGUUAAAUGUAACUCUAAGAUCUCCGACAUCAUUUUUUCGGAGAGAGGGCUCCGGCAAUGGGACCCGUUAUCCCCUUAUUUAUUUUUUUUUUGUAUGAAAGCUCUGUCCCGUAUGUUAAUUCAUGCUCAAACGUCAAAUUCUAUAAAGGGCGUUUGGGUUAGUAAGGACGGCCCGAAAAUUAACCAUCUAUUUUUUGCUGAUGAUGCUUUAUUGUUUAUCAGGAACAGACAGAGCGAGGCCGAGGUUGCUUCUAUGAUUCUGGAGUCCUUUGAAAAGAUGUCUGGCCAAAAAAUAAAUCUGGAUAAAUCGAUGAUUUAUUUCAGCCCCAAUACUUCCGGUUCUCAUCGUAUGAGAUUAAGCAACAUCCUCAAGAUGAGGGUGGUUGAUAACCUUGAUACCUACUUGGGUCUGCCUAUCUCGAUUGGCAAGAAAAAGAUUACGGCGUUCCAAGGCAUGCUAGAUAGGAUGGCCAACAGAAUUAAUAGUUGGCCCAAAAGGUUACUGUCGUAUGGUGGCAAAGAGGUGUUCGUUAAGUCGGUCCUUCAGUCGAUUCCCACGUAUGCUCUGUCGAUUUUCUUUACUCCUGUUGGUAUUCUGGAUAAGAUCCAGUCCUUGAUAAGCAGGUUUUGGUGGAGUAGUAAGGAUAAGAAUCGGGGCUGAAAUUGUUUGGGGUGGGAUUAGGUCUGUCUCCCGAAAGGCAUGGGGGUAUAGGGUUUAGGGACAUCCGGCGUUUCAAUGUGGCUUUGCUUGGGAGACAAGUGGGGAGGUUGGCGAGCUGCAAAGACACCCUCUGUUUUCAAGUUCUUAGUGCCAAGUAUUUCCCGGAUGGUGAUGUCUUUCGGCCUAAGAAGGUGGACAAGCCUUCCUUCACGUGGAAAAGUAUCAAUAGAGCUGCUUGUAUUUUGCGGGAGGGUUUCGGGUGUGGGAAAUGGUAGAAGGAUUGAUCUGUGGUAGGAGAAUUGGGGUUUUGAAGGGCUCUCAGGUGAGUCAAUCCGUCUAAACAGAAGGGAUGUGCAUGAGACCAGGGUGUGUGACUGUGAGCUUUUCGAUGGAUUGAGUGUUGGAUGGAAGGAGGAUAGGGUUCGGGAGAUUUAUGGGGAGUUUUUGGGGGGCCAAAUAUGUAAUAUUCCCAUUCUUCAUAAUGGCCCCGAAGAUCACCGUAUUUGGUUUCACAACCCGUUGGGGUCCUAUUCAAGAAAAUCCGCAUAUUCAUGGAUGACGUUAAAACAUGUGGGUUUUGGCCCCCAUCGGUAUGUUUGGAGGCUGAUAUGGAAACUUCGAACCCUACCAAAAAUUAAGGUUUUUUGUUGGCGUCUUUGUCAUGAUAUUCUUCCGGCGUAUGAGAACAUCUCUAAAAUUAGGAGGGAUUUUAACUGCUUUUGUCCUCGUUGUGGUAUCGAAAGGGAGACCCUUAUUCAUGCUGUAAAAGACUGUCAGAAAGCUAGAGCAGUUUUGACUUACGGGGGCCUCGAUAAUACUCUUGUGGAAGGUAGUUUUCAAAGUUGUGUGGACUGGCUUGAAGAGGCAACCCGGGUGCUGGAUAGUGUGGCUUUCUCAAAUUUUGUCACUGUGCUUUGGAAUAUCUGGAAUUGCAGAAAUAAUAAAGUUUUUAGAAAUAUGGAGGAAGAGCCAAAAGUUAUCUGGGACAGAGCUGCUACUUUGAACAGGGAUUUUUGGAUUUUUAAUUUGGUGAAUAAUCCGUUGGUUCCUAAGCCGGUCGGGGUAAAGGGGUGGCAGAAGCCUGGUAUUGGGAUGGUUAAAAUAAAUGUUGAUGCUGCUGUUGAUGGAAAAAGGAUGAGCUUCGGGGUUGUUGCCAGGGAUCAUGAGGGCUUUUGUGCUCGGGGGGCGUGCAGGUGUUAAGGAAAAUCAUGCGGGUGUGGAAUGGGCUGAGCUGGUAGCAGUUACUGAAGGUUUGGAGUUGGCGAGGGAGAAAAGUUGGCUGAAGCUGGACUUGGAAUCGGAUUGUGCAAACUUGGUUAAUAGGCUGAAAAUGACGGGAGUUGACUAUUCUACUUAUGGCUAUCGCAUUCGGCAAUUGCUUCAUUCUUUCGAUUUGUGUUUCAAGUUUAAUUUUGUUUGGGCCCCGCGCUGUUGUAAUAAAGCGGCGGACCAACUUUGUAACUGGGCUUUAAAAAAUAAUUGCUCUAAGGUGUUUGACAUGGACUACCCGAGUGUGAUCCAUGAUGUAAUCUUGAAGGAAGCUAUAAAUUGAGUCGUCGACCUUCGGGUCUUUCUAUCAAAAAAAAAAGUGUGACGGUGUAAGUGACAGCGGAGUCUUCGAACUGGCGAAAAUCAUAGUGGCAAACAAAGGUACGAUCGAAUCAAAUCCAUAUUAUGUUAAUCUACUUCUAUGAUAUUUAUUUGGUUAGUGUUGAUAUCCAUAUUCUUUUUUGUUAUAAAAUUUUCUAUUCACCAUGUAUCGAGUUAACUACAAAUACAGUAUUCAAAUUAAGGGUGAAAAUUGAAAUUAAAUUAUAUAUUUUAAUAAUAAUAAAAAUGUAAUUUUAUUAUUUUAAUAAUUUAUAUUUUUAUACUUUAGGGGACACGGCUGGCUUCGCCACUUAUUCAAACUGUAUUAAUAUGUGAUUUGGUACCAAAAUAAAAAAUAAAAAUUGCAUUUAGCCACUUGAGCUUUCAAAAUUUUUAUUAAUCUGGUCCAAACAAUAAUCAAACCUGCUUAUGUCGCAUCAAAAUCAGUUUUCAACGUUUCAUAAUCACAUUUUGAGGAAAUUGAAACAUGAGAAAUGCUUUAUAAAUAUAGAAUCUAUUAAAUCCAAUAUUCAAGUAUAAUUUAUAAAUACUCUUUUAUGCAGCUAAAUAUUGAAUAUGUGUAGAAUUUGUGUCAUUUGUAUAUUCGCAUUUUAUUUAUUUUGAGUAUAUAUACCUUUUAUUUUUUUCGCAUUUUUUAACGGUUGAAGGUGUGGAAUCUGUGUACUUUUAACGGGAAAAUGAUUUAGUGGAAGUGGUUGGUCGGGUGGAUCCUGCUGUAAUCUUACGUAAGCUGCGAAAAUAUACCUUUGCUAAGUUAGCGUCUGUGGGUCAAAUUAAUCCGCCUCAUUUACCCAAGAGAGUAAUUUUAAGUAGAUGCCAGAUCCGAAGAGAAGAUCCAGUGGUUCUUCCUAUUGAUCUUAUGUUACUGAGAAUUUUGGAAUGCCACAACGUAAGAAGCUUAAGCGAUAUCUCCAUAUUCUUCCAACAAACAAACCAGUUAAGGUCCUGUUCAGUUGAAGAUUGUAAAGGGAUAGUGUAUAAGCCCAAUUUCGCCUGAGCCCACUACCCAAUAAACUUAGCCCAAUACACCACAACCCAUACCAGAAAAUAAACCAAAUAAUGAACAGCCCGUUUACAAACUUUAACCCAAUGACAGACCCUAACCCAACUACCACAAGCCCAAACCCGGAGCCCAAUACCAGGCCCAACAGAGCCAGAAACCAAAGUCGGCAUAAGGUUUCAGAAACUGAAACCCUAAGCGCUGCCCCUGCUUCAGACUGUUGGUCUCCUAAGCGCCGCCUGCUUUAGACUUUUGGUCUUCUACCACCACCGCCGCGCAUCUGUCACCGCUUCUGUACCAUCCACCGUCGCCCAUCAAUCUUCUGCAGAAAGAAAAAGAACACGCAAGCAGCAAGAUAAUAGAAAAAUAGGAGCAGAUCGGCUAUAAAAAGCUGAGCCCCAUCUCUGUAUUUUUUUCUUCUUCUUUUUUACAACAUUUUGAAUACAAAAAAAGCAGAUCAAAAAAAGAACAAAAAGGUUGAUUCCAAAAUUCUUCUUUCUGUUCUUGUAUAUUAUCUUAUUUUUUUAUUCUCUGUUUUUUUUUGCAAUUUUUUUUCACUAUUCUUUUAAACUACAAACGAAACGAAAGAGAAAAGAAAAAGGAUACUUACCGGUCUCGAAAGCCCGUCGCCGGAGACAUCUUCUGUGUUGAAAUCGGAUCAAAAAAUGGACGAAAGGUCUCUCCUUUUUCGGCUUGUUGGGUCUGAAGGAUCGGGUCUUAGAGUGGGGAUCGAAAACGGGGUUAAAAACCCCUCUUUUUCUCGCUCUAACCAUCGCCCAUGACGGAGCCUCGGCCCCUGCUAGGCCGUUCACCGGCGGGGACAAUGGCCGAUUUCUGGGUUUGUUAAAAGGGGGGGAGAGGAUUUUGCUUUUUUUUUUUAAGUUGAGACAGAAAAUGAAGUUAAAUAUAUAUAUAUAUUUGGUUUAAAUAACCAUUUUGAAACGGCGC